rnacentral:lncRNA from 1 species
ACACUCACCAAUGAGAAGGAGGUUGAUGCAUGCCCAAUCAGAGCAAUGAAGUUCUCUGUCUCCCCUGUUGUGCGCGUUGCUGUUCAGUGCAAGGUUGCCUCUGACCUACCCAAGCUCGUUGAAGGUUUGAAGCGUCUGGCAAAGUCUGAUCCUAUGGUCCUCUGUACAAUUGAAGAAUCUGGUGAGCAUAUUAUUGCUGGAGCUGGUGAGCUUCACCUUGAGAUUUGCCUGAAGGAUCUGCAGGAAGACUUCAUGGGUGGUGCUGAAAUUAUUGUUUCUCCUCCUGUUGUCUCUUUCCGUGAAACUGUUCUUGAGAAAUCCUGCCGAACAGUCAUGAGCAAGUCCCCCAACAAGCACAACCGUCUUUACAUGGAAGCCCGUCCCUUGGAAGAGGGUCUCCCUGAGGCUAUUGAUGAGGGCCGCAUUGGUCCACGUGAUGAUCCCAAGGUUCGCUCCAAGAUCCUCUCUGAGGAGUUUGGUUGGGACAAGGAUCUUGCCAAGAAGAUUUGGUGCUUUGGACCUGAGACCACUGGCCCGAACAUGGUUGUUGAUAUGUGUAAGGGAGUGCAGUACCUCAAUGAAAUCAAGGAUUCUGUUGUGGCUGGCUUCCAGUGGGCCUCAAAGGAGGGUGCACUGGCUGAGGAGAACAUGCGUGGCAUCUGCUUUGAGGUCUGUGAUGUUGUUCUUCAUGCUGAUGCAAUUCACAGGGGUGGUGGCCAGGUCAUUCCAACUGCCAGGAGGGUUAUUUAUGCUUCUCAGCUCACUGCCAAGCCAAGGCUGCUCGAGCCAGUUUACCUUGUGGAGAUCCAGGCCCCAGAAAAUGCACUUGGUGGUAUCUAUGGUGUUCUGAACCAGAAGAGAGGGCACGUGUUUGAGGAGAUGCAGAGGCCUGGUACCCCGCUCUACAACAUCAAGGCUUACCUCCCUGUCAUCGAGUCCUUUGGGUUCUCCAGCCAACUGAGGGCUGCAACCUCUGGCCAGGCGUUCCCUCAGUGUGUGUUUGACCACUGGGACAUGAUGGGCUCUGAUCCUCUGGAGGCCGGCUCCCAGGCUGCUCAGCUGGUGUUGGAUAUCCGCAAGAGGAAGGGUCUCAAGGAGCAGAUGACCCCUCUUUCUGAGUUUGAGGACAAGCUCUAAAUUUUGGUGGUUUGUGCUGCUGUUACCCAUGCUGGUUUCAUGGCCAAUUCGUCUACUGUAACUGGAACUACUUUCAUGUUUCAUUUCCUUUAGUUGUCAGAUGCAUCUGUUUUUGAACAUCAUUGGCCAUAUGGCAUUGUGCUGCUAAGACUGUAUUUUGUUAUCCGGUUGUGAUGUAACAGAUGAAAUAGAGUUCAUAUCUGUGGUUUAAGUGGUAGUAUUUGCGGUAUAAUGCUUGUUUCUACUGCCUUCUGAAAGCCUUUCUUUUGCCUAACGGUAGAGCGGAUUAACUAAGGGUGUUGUAUCAUUUGAUUCAUUUGAUCCUUCAUCAAGGAUGAAGCCAUCUCCUCAUGGGAACACAUUAUUCUACUAUUAGAAGCGAAGAUGUAACAAAUUAGUUGAAAGAGGAGCGUUGAAAGAGGAGCGAACCAUACUUUACUAUAUGGUAAGUAGCAAAUUAGUUACAAGUAGCAAAUUAGUUGAACUUUAGGAUCAUGCACGUUGAACCUUGUUAUCUAGGAUCAUCCAUGGAUCAUGCACGUUGAACCUUGCUAACUAGGAUCAUGCACGUUGACCCUUGUUAUCUAGGAUCAUCCAUGGAUCAUACACGUUGAACUUUGCUAUCUAGGAUUAUCCAUGUAUGCAUCAUGUAGUGCAUCUGUGCAUGCAAUAUUCUGUUAUCUAGGAUCAUCCAUGGAUCAUACACGUUGAACUUUGCUAUCUAGGAUUAUCCAUGUAUACAUCAUGUAGUGCAUCUGUGCAUGCAAUAUUCUGCCCUUAGCUUGGUUUUACUGCCGAUAGCUAUAUAGUGCAUUUAAAUGCUUUUCUUUUGCCCACAGCCCCAGAGGUAGAGAGGACUAACUGUUUCUGUUGCUUUUUUUUUUUACGGUCUACGGGAGAGAGUGUGUGUGUGUGUUGGGGGUGGGAGCGCCCCCACCUGAUUUUCAUUUCAUUGAGGGUCUGUUUCAGGCCAAACGCUGUGUAGAUCAAAAGGAGAUAGAGAGAGGCAGUGUACAUCUGGUUUUGUGAUUGUUUUACAUCGAAGCAAAGACAGUGCACCAGGAGUCGGUUAUCACGCGAUCCUCUAUGCGAAACCGCUCGCGCCAAAGUCGGGCUUCGUCUCGGCAUGCCGACCAGAAGCGUUGUUGAGAUGGAGCGCAGCGCUGGAACACUGGGUCAUUCCGGUGCUUCCAUAACACCCACGGCAGAAGGAGUUUUUUCUUGCUUUGCCUUUAGCUUGGCUUUAAUCCUGUUAGCUAUGCCUAUGUAGAGCAUUUGGUCCUUCGAAUUUUAAAUCGAUGUUGAUUUUGAUUGCAUGCCGUCAUUUUGGGUUGGUUCCAACUAUGUUUUUAAUAUCAGUCGUUCUGAAGGUUACUCUGUUGACACUUGAUUGCAUAACCGUUUGCUAGUUUUGCGUGCAUCCGCGUGCUGGUUCGUCUCAUCAAGAACUAGCCGUUGCUCAAAACUCUGGCUUUCAGGCAUGGCCGCAACAGCCUGGAGGAUGUGUUGCUGUUCUGUAGCUGUAGUGUGCGUCUGUGCUAGUGGAUGCAGGGAGCCAGCGACCUAAAAGGAAUCGUGUAUUAGUGGAUGCAGGACAUCGGCCGUGGCGGCCUGGGGGAGACGACCACGCUCGACAUGAACGGCAGUAAGUUCAAUGGCACGAUCCCGGCGUCGCUUACCGGCCUAUGGAGCCUCCAGUAUCUAGAUGUGAGCGGCAACCGCUUCACCGGCACCAUCCCAGCGUUGCUAUCUGGACUCCGGAACCUCCAGCUUCUCGGCCUGAAUGACAACCUCUUCACCGGCACCAUCCCGGCGGACCUCGGCGAGCUGGCGAGCCUUCACAUGCUGUAUCUGGCAAACAACCAGUUCGAUGCAGGCCAGCUGCCGUCGUCGUUCAAGAACCUGACCAACCUGGUCAGCCUCUGGGCGUCGCAGUGCAACCUCGUCGGAGAGUUCCCGAACUUUCUUUGGAGCCUGAAGGAGCUGCAACUAUUGAAUCUGUACACGAACAACCUCACCGGCAACUUGGUGGUUGAUGGCCUUGUUGCGAGGAACUUGACAGUAAUCGACGUCUCGGAGAACAAGAUCACUGGAGUUAUCCCGAGUGUUUGGGAGCUUGGAGAACCUCAGAGACUUGAACUUCUUCAUGAACAACUUCUCCAGCGAGAUACCAGCCAGCAUCGGCCGGUUGCCCUCACUGACGAGGUUGAGGCUCCACACCAACAUGCUUAACGGCACGCUCCCACCGGAGCUCGGAAAGCAAUCGCCGGGCUUGAAUUAUGUUGAGGUUGAUUACAAUGAGCUCACCGCCGAGAUCCCGGAAGGGCUGUGCACUGGAGACAACCUCCAGCACCUCACCGCCAAGAGCAACCAAUUGAACGGCUCCAUCCCAGCAGGCCUUGCCAACUGCGCCACUCUUGGAACCCUGUCGCUGGACAACAACCAACUCUCUGGCGACGUACCAGAGGCUCUGUGGACGGCGACGAAGCUUUACCAGAGGCUCUUCCGGCCACGGUGCAUCUCAACCUUUCGACGAUACUCAUAGGGAACAACCAAUUUGGUGGCAACAUUCCGGCUGCACUAGCUGCGCUCCAGGUGUUCACCGCCGAGAACAACCGGUUUUCUGGUGCGAUACCGGCGAGUCUUGGCGACGGCAUGCCGCUGCUGCAAAGACUGAACUUAUCCGGUAACCAACUGUCCGACGGGAUCCCCAGAAGCGUUGCUAAGCUAAGCCAGCUGACGGAAAUGGACCUGAGCAGGAAUCAGCUCACCGGAGGCAUACCGGUAGAGCUCGGCGCCAUGCCGGUGUUAAGUGUCCUUAACCUGUCGUCGAACAAGCUCUCCGGCAACGUGCCGCAGGCGCUUGCGAAGCCGACACUCACCGCCCUAACCUGUCCUCGAACCAUCAGACCGGCCAGGUCCCGGCCGGGUUCGCCACCGCGGUCUACGACACCAGCUUCCUCAACAACCCCGGCCUCUGCACCGCCGCUUGGGGACCUGGCUACCUCACGGGCGUACGCUCCUGCGCCGGUGGAUCACAAGACGGCGGUUCCUCCGGAGGCGUGUCGCACGCCCUGCGCAGGGGAACCUCGCCGUGGCGUUCGCCUUCUUCGUCGUCCGCGACAUCAAGAAACGGCGGCGCGUCGCGGAGCAAGACAACUGGAAGAUCACGCCUUUCGUCAAAGAUCUGGGAUUCGGUGAGGCACCCAUACUCCGGGGGCUGACGGAGGAGAACCUCGUCGGGCGCGGGGGAUCGGGGCGCGUGUACCGCGUCGCCUACACCAACCGGCUUAACGGCCGAGCCGGCGCGGUGGCCGUAAAGCAAAUACGGACCGCCGGGAAGCUCGACCAGAAGCUGGAACGCGAAUUCGCGUCAGAGGCUGGCAUCAUCGGCAACCUCCGGCACAACAACAUCGUCAAGCUCUUGUGUUGCCGCUCCAGCGCCGAGUCCAAGCUCCUCGUGUACGACUAUGGACAACGGCAUCCUGGACAGGUGGCUCCACGGCGACGCCCUCGUCGCCGGCGGGCGCCCCAUGGCGAGGGCGCGGUCCGCGCGGCGCGAGCCGCUGGACUGGCCGGCGAGGCUCAGGGUGGCCGUCGACGCCGCGCAGGGGCUGUGCUACAUGCACCACGAGUACGAGCCGCCCAUCGUCCACCGCGACGUCAAGACGAGCAACAUCCUGCUGGACUCGGAGUUCCGGGCCAAGAUCGCCGACUUCGGGCUGGCCACAGGAUGCUGCUGCAGGCCGGGGCGCCGGAAACGAUGUCCGCCGUCGCUGGCUCGUUCGGCUACAUGGCUCCUGGUAAGGAUUCGAACUUGCUGCUUUCAGUGAAUUUCUGUCCCAUUUCUACAAAUGCCACGUGUUCUCGUGUUGCCGGACCUUAGAUUGGGCCUUUUGAUGCUUAUCUGCAGAGUGUGCUUACACCAAGAAGGUGAACGAGAAGGUAGACAGCUUCGGUGUCAUUCUCCUGGAGCUCACCACCGGAAAGGAGGCCAACAACGGCGGCGAGCACGGCUGCCUGGCGGACUGGGCACGGCGCCACUACCAAUCAGGAGGGAGCAUCGCCGACGCCACAGACAAGAGCAUCAGAUACGACGGGUACUCUGACGAGAUCCAGGUUGUCUUCAGGCUCGGCGUGCUCUGCACCGCCGAUAUGCCGUCGUCGCGGCCAACCAUGAACGACGUGCUGCAGAUCUUGGUCAAGUGCAGCGAGCAGACGUACCACAAGGGCAAGACGGAGCGUGGCCCAGAGUAUGAGGUGGCUCUUCUACCCAAACGCGGCAGUCGCCGGAAACAGCUUUCAAACGGCUCGGGGAUUUACAUCGAAGAGAAGAUGACAGCAUUGUCUGAAGAAAGGAACUGACCACUGCAUAUGCCAGUAAGCAGCUUGUGACAUCGUCAGUGAACUGCUUGCUAUAGUGAUACUUCACAUUUUAGCAGAGUACAGCGGAGAAUUAUGCCUCUAAUCUUUUUUUUUCUGAGGAGCUAAGUAUCUUUAUAUUAAAAAGAGAAUAUAAAUAGAAAAAAUCAGUCCAUUGGAAGCAACCACUCUAGCUCACCUAGGAGAAUAGAGAGAUUGCAUAAACAAGCGAAGAAAAAACCGUCACCAGACCUUGACCCUGCACGGCUGGACUAGGGACAUGCAUAGUAUAGAGCAGGGCUUGUGGUUAGCCAAACCGUUCUGUGUAUUGAUACUGCAAAUCUGUAUUAAAUCACACACACAUUAUACGUUCCGACAGAAGAACUAGCAAACAUUACGAUUAUACUCCCUCCGUUCUUAAAUAUAUAACGCUAUUGACUUUUUCAUUUGUUUGACUAUUCAUCUUUUCUACAAAUAUUUUUGCAAAUAGAUAAAUCUACGAGUUAAAUCUAAAGUACAUUUCACAAUAGUCAUAAUGAUACACAUUUUACUUUAGUUAACUAACUCAUUCAAUAGAUAUUGAUGGUCAAAGUUGGAGUAAAAAGCCAACAGCAUCAUAUAUUUAAGAAUGGAGGGAGUAAUUUAUUUCUGAAAUAAAGGCAGGAGAUGGAGCUCUGCUUAUCCAUUCAGAAAUUAGUACGAUUGAAUGAUUUUGUCUCCUUCCAGUUUUUAUUGUAAAACACAGAAUAUUACACGGAUAGGCACUGAUUGUUAUCCGGAAGAAAAUGAAUUUUUAUAUUUCAAAAGAAAAGGCCCAAUUUGCACCCUCUAGCUAGCACGAUAAUCCAAUUUUCAGCUAAACUGACCAUGGGCCGGCCCAAAGGCACAGGAAUUUGGCCCGGUCUAGGCAUGGCGGCCGUCGUGCUCGUGCUAACCCGACCCACACCAUGGGCCGUGCUUGGGCCGUUGCCUCAGCCCACGUACUGGUCCGGCACGGCCUGCCCAUUUGGCCCGUCGGGAUUAAGUGGGCGGCCCAUCCUAUUAAGGCCCACUCGACCGCAUAUAAAACCCCCCACCCCCAAACGGCCAAACCCUACCUUCCUCUUCGUGUCCCGCGCCCUUCGCCGCCGUCACCUCCCCCGCGCCCUUCGCCGCCUCUCGCGCCCGCCGGCCGCUCACGCCCUCCGCCGCUUCCCCCCGCCGCCUCCCUCACGCCCUCCGCCGCAUCCUCCCACCGCCUCCCUCGUGCCCUCCGCCACCUCCCGCGCCCGCCGGCCUCUCGCUCCCCUGCCACCUCCCCCGCGGCCCUCUGCCGCCUCCUACACCCGCCGGUCCCUUGCCGCAAUUGGGGAAGAUGGUGGCCUGCACGGCGGCGCGCGCAAACGUCCUGUCGUCCCUCGGCGGUGGGAGCUGCGGCACGAGUGGGCGCCUGGGCAGAUCCGGGAAAGGUCUAUGGGCGCCCUGACGACGAGGUGGUCGAAGUCAUCGGGGCUAUCGAACUCGACGACGACAGGCGCUACGGGCGUAUGAGCAGAGGAAGGGUGAAUUCUGUGCCGCAGGCUGGCACGAGCACGGUGAGGCCGUUAAGGCCUGCCAGGCCAGCGUGCCAGCACGGCCCACCUAAGAAGGCUGCGGGUCAUGCCUGGACCGCUCCUUCGGCACAUGGGCCGGCACGGCCUGGCACUAUUACCGUGCAAGCCUAACCGUGCCGGGCCUAACCGUGCCAGGCCAAAUCGUGCUCGUGCCAGGCCGGGUUGGGCUACCUGUUUGGCCAUCUAUACAUCCAACGGUUGAAACCAGAUAAAUUUUAUCCUUUAGCUGGUUUCAAAGAUGUUUUUUUGUUUUAUUAGACAUUUAAAAAAAAUCUGAUUUAAUCUUGUUGGGGGGAAAUAUUAACGAUCCCCUAAAUACCACUUAAAGGAGCAGACGCGAAGGCCCGGGCCCACCUAAGCAUAAUCAAAACUCCGCCUCGCCCGACCGCGGCCUCAGGGUCAGGAACGCCCGACCCCCCUCCACGAGGUUUCCGCCUCGUCCGACUGCGGCCCCAGGGUCGAAGGCGCCCGAUCCCUCGCCACAAGGUUCCGCCUCGUCCGACCCCAAGCGCAGGGGUCGGGCUCGCUGGGGCCCCCAGGGCAGGCAUCCCCCUCGGAUGUGGACCAGGUGGGCAAGAUAAACAAAUCUUGCGGGUCCCCCCCCCCAUCGGCCUCGUCAUAAAUGCGCUGCGGGCCUGGCAGAGGGAGGAAUGACCACGCUCCUCACACAACCCGCCGCAAGUACCCAUGCACGACCAUACUGUACAAGCUACAGCGCUGGCGGCUCACUCCCAUUCGCCGCAGGGUACUCAUGGCCUGCGCCGACCGGAGCGGAGGAGAGACUCGCCUGUCCUCGAGCCCCGCGCACCCUCGGGUCCCGUGCGCCUGGCAUCUAGGAUGUGACGCCCUCUCUCCAGGAGCCAUCAUCAGAAUGGCAGCAUCCACCGUCCUCCCCAACGGACACCGGGAUAACGACGAAACGCCCUCAUCAUAACCCGACGCCUACGGAUGCCGAAGGAGCUAUCUGUAGGGUGCAACGACAGUUGGCGCACGGCCGCCUCCCCCUCCGGCAUGCACGCCGGCGCUCGCCAGGAGCCGGCGGAGGCGUCGGGCGUCUAGGAACUUGUUCCUCCCAUCCUGCCGUAUUUUUUACCGUACUACGUUCACAUUUUACGGUCCUCUUCGCCCGAUCCCAACUGUAACUCUGGCCACUCCCCUUGCGAUAUAAAAGGAGGAACACAGGGCCGGAGGGGGGGAUCGGCUUCUUCCCCCUCAAGCCACAGCAUGCUAGUACGCUCCCUGAGAACAUAGGCUCAAAGAGACUUGGGACCAGUCCCUCUCUCGUCGGUCUGUAACCCCUACUACAGAACCCCGCGUGGGCAAUACGAGCAUCCACGAUACUGGACGUAGGGCUCCCUUUGCUCGAACCAGUCUAAUCCGUGUCUCCCACGCCACCAUCUGAGGCCUUACGCGCAUAAAAGAAAUUUACUAGUCUAAGUCUUGAUCCGCCAAUCUUGACAACGACAGUUGGCGCGCUAGGUAGGGGACCUUUGCGCAUACCCUCCCAGCCUCAGAUGGCCAAUUACGAUAGUAGCUUUGCUCCGGGCUCCCUGAUCCGAUUCGGGAGCCUGGACUUCCUCGCCACCGGGGAAGGGAUCAAGCUGAUCCCUGUCCUCAUCCUGCCCGCUCGCCCGCCUGCCCCCGGCCCCGCCGCCGGGACAGCGGUGAGCGGCCGCUCGCAUACCGGAAGGACCUCGCCAGGGGGACGGCCCUUCGGGCUACGCAAUGCCACGGGGGCCUACGGACGCCUCCUAGCGCGGUCCAUGACCGCGUCGCCCGCGAGCAACGAGCUCGUAGGUGCGACAAGGACGAUCUCCGACACCGGCUCCAGCAGCGGGAGCCCCCACCCCUCGCGUGAGUGCCUCGUGGUCGACGAGCACUCUGAGGGAUCCAACAGCAACGAUGCCGAGGAGAGACAAAGGGCUGCCCCUCGCGCGCCGCGGCUAUGACCGGAGCCUUACCAAGGGCACCAGAGUGCUCUCAGCAACGAGAGGCGCGCGCGGGCGCCCGCCAAGAAGUCGAGCACCCCCACCACGAGGGAGGAGCGCGACAACGGGCGCGAGACGUCCAGCGACGCAUCUGCGCGGAUGAAGAGCGUCCGCAGCUUUUCGCCCGCGCCAGCCAAAACGUCGCAGCCGCGGCGGUGUUGCUCCGACAGCUCCCCGAACCAGCGAUGCCCGAGGAGCGACGGGCACGCCAAGAGAUGCGCGACCUGCUCGAAUGCGCCGCCGUCCAGCAGGCGGAAAGCUCCGCGUCCCGGCGACGCGGGCAGAAUGCCAGCAGGGCGACGCCCGACGCGCCCCCGGAAAGGCGGGGGGAAUCAGUCCAUCUACCCCCUCCUGGGGCGAAUCAGGCCGCGUCCGCCCGACGGACUCCACCACCCGCGGGAGGCGAGGCUCGAUCCGUCCACCAGCGCGUCGGCCUCGUCCGCGACGCCCGCGACACCCUAAACGCGCGGAGACGCUCCCGCGCGGACAGGGAGGACGGGGUAGAUCGAGGCUACCACGUCCACCGUGGCGGGCGCUACGACAGCGGGGAAGACCGCAGCCUGAGCCCCGGUCCGGCUGGGCCCCGGGCCUUCUGUGCGCGCAUCCUGAACGCGCCUUUUCCGCCGCGCUUCAGGCAACCCAUGAGUAUAGCCAAAUACUCAGGGGAGACGAAUCCUGGAGUGUGGCUCAGCGAUUACCGGCUUGCAUGUCAAGCCGGCGGGGCGGAUGAUGACCUGUUUAUCAUCCGCAACCUACCCCUCUUCCUAGCCGACUCAACGCGAGCUUGGCUAGAACAUAUCCCUUCGGGACGAGUUCGCAACUGGAAUGACCUGAAGGAGGUUUUCAUAGGGAACUUCCAGGGCACGUACACACGCCCCGACAAUUCCUGGGACCUCCGGAGCUGUCGUCAGGGGGCGGACGAGUCCCUCCGAGAUUAUAGCCGGCGCUUCUCCAGGAAGCGCACCGAGCUCUCCAACGUCGCGGACGCCGAUGUCAUAGGAGCUUUCCUAGCAGGAACCUCCUGCCGGCCCCUCGUCCACGAGCUGGGGUGCCGAGGCCCGCGAACCACGGAGGAGCUCCUCAAUAUCGCCACUAGUUACGCCUCGGGCGAAGAGGCCGUUGGAGCAAUCUUCGACCGCUCCAAAGGCAAGGCGAAACGGGAGGAGGUUGCUGGCGAAGGCACCUCCAACCGCCAGCAGAAGAAGAAGGGCAAGUUACGGCGCGAGGCCCCCCUCGUGGCCGCAGCUGAGCGCAAGCGAGGGCCGCCGCCCCCCGAGGGCGCUCCCGGCUUCUUCGACAAGUUGCUUGAGGGACCGUGCCCGAACCACGAGUUCCCCGUGAAGCACGCCUACAAAGACUGCAACCUCAUGAAGAGAUACUUCAUGGGCAAUUCGGUGAAAGGCGACCGGAAGCGGAAGCCCGAUGAGGAAAAGAAGGGCGACGAAGAGAAGGAAGACGGCUUCCCCAAGGUGGACGGCUGCUUCAUGAUCUUCGGGGGCUCUGCGGCAUACGACACCAAGCGCCAGUAGAAGCUGGAGCGCCGGGAGGUCUACGCGGCCGAGCCAGCGACUCCGGCCUUCCUGGACUGGUCAGGGCCGGCCAUCACCUUCGACAGGACCGACCACCCUGGACGCGUCCGGCACCCGGGGCGUUACCCUCUCGUCGUCGACCCCAUCGUCGGCACGACGCGCCUCACCAAGGUGCUCAUGGACGGAGGCAGCAGCCUCAACAUCCUCUACGCCGAGACCCUCGACGCUAUGGGGAUCGACCGUUCCCGCCUCCAUCCCAGCAAGGCGCAUUUCCAUGGCGUCGUGCCAGGGAAGCAGGCGAUGCCUCUCGGGCAAAUCGACCUGCGCGUUACGUUCGGGACCCCUUCCAACUACAGGAAGGAGGUCCUCACAUUCGAGGUGGUGGGGUUCCGCGGAACCUACCACGCCAUCUUGGGACGGCCUUGCUACGCAAAGUUCAUGGCUAUCCCCAACUACACCUACCUCAAGCUCAAGCUGCCGGGGCCCAACGGGGUCAUCACCGUCGGCACGACCUUUCAGAAGGCGUACGAGUGCGACGUAGAGUGCUGCGAGUACGCCGCGGCCAUCACCGUCACGAGCGAUUCGGCAGUCCAGCUUGCGGAGGCCACCGAGGACCGGCCCGACUCCAGGCAGCCGAACAUCUCCUUCGAGCCCGCUGAAGGUAUCAAGGAGGUCCCCCUUGAUCCCGGUUGUUCCAACGGAGGAGUCGUGCGGAUCAGCGCGGCCCUAUCCCCCAAAUAGGAAAGCGCGCUCGUUGACUUCCUCCGCGCGAACAGCGACGUCUUCGCGUGGAAGCCAUCGGACAUGCCAGGCAUUCCGAGGGAAGUCGCCGAGCACUCCUUGAACAUCAGGGCCGGUUCCAAGCCAGUAAAGCAAGGAUUGCGCCGUUUCGACGAGGAAAGGCGCAAGGCCAUCGGCGAAGAGCUCCAGAAGCUUCUGGCGGCCGGGUUCAUCAAGGAAGUGCACCACCCCGAGUGGCUAGCUAAUCCUGUCCUUGUACCAAAAAAGAAUGGGAAAUGGAGGAUGUGUGUCGAUUAUAACGGUCUCAACAAAGCGUGUCCAAAGGACCCGUUUCCUUUGCCACGCAUAGAUCAAAUAGUCGACUCAACUGCCGGGUGCGAGACCCUCAGCUUCCUCGACGCAUAUUCCGGCUACCAUCAGAUCGCGAUGAAAGAGGCCGACCAGCUCGCUACCUCCUUCAUCACCCCCUUCGGUCCCUACUGCUACGUUAAGAUGCCAUUCGGCCUCAAAAACGUGGGGGCUACCUUCCAGCGAUGCAUGCUGUAGUGCUUCGGAGACCUCAUUGGGCGGACCGUUGAGGCCUACGUUGACGACAUCGUCGUAAAAUCCCGGAGGGGCGACCAGCUCGUUCCCGUCCUUGAACUAGCCUUCGAGAGGCUGAGGGAUAAGCGUAUUAAGCUCAAUCCCAAGAAAUGUGUGUUCGGAGUCCCAAGGGGCAUGCUGUUAGGCUUCAUCGUCUCCGUGCGCGUCAUCGAAGCAAACCCGGAGAAGAUAGCGGCCAUUAGAGACAUGGGGCCGAUCCGGAACAUAAAGGGAGUUCAGCGCAUCAUGGGAUGCUUGGCAGCUCUAAGCCGCUUCAUCUCGCGCCUCGGCGAGCGAGGGCUUCCUUUCUAUCGGCUCCUGAAGAAGACUGACCGUUUCGAAUGGACCAGCGAGGCCCAGGAGGCACUUGACCGACUCAAGGACCUCCUGACGAAGGCCCCGAUCCUAGUCCCGCCUACCGACGGCGAGUCCCUCCUGCUCUACGUCGCGGCGACCACCCAGGUGGUUAGCGCGGCCUUGGUGGUGGAACGAGAAGAGGAAGGACACGCUCUCAAGGUGCAACGCCCGGUGUAUUUCAUCAGCGAAGUCUUGUCCGAGUCCAAGACACGUUACCCGCAGAUCCAGAAGCUCGUCUACGCCAUCCUUAUCACAAAGAGGAAGCUGCGCCACUACUUCACCUCCCACCCGGUAACAGUCAUUUCGUCAUUCCCGUUAGGCGAAGUAAUCCGGAACCCAAAUGCUACAGGGAGAAUCGCGAAGUGGGCGCUUGAGCUCAUGGACCAGGGUAUCACCUACGUCCCCCGCACCGCCAUCAAGUCCUAGGCACUCGCCGACUUCGUGGCAGAGUGGACGGAGAUUCAAACGCCAUCGGCGCCAGAGAAGCAGGAGUAUUGGACAAUGUACUUCGACGGGUCACUGAUGAGGGCCCGCGCCGGAGCGGGUCUCGUUUUCGUCUCUCCCUUGGGCAUGCGCAUCAGGUACAUGAUCCACCUUCAUUUUCCUGCAUCUAAUAAUGUCGCCGAGUACGAAGCCCUCCUCAACGGACUCCGCAUCGCCAUCGAGCUGGGCAUCCGUCGGCUGGACAUCCGGGGCGAUUCCCAGUUGGUCGUCGAACAAGUCAUGAAGGAGUGGAGCUGCCACGACCCCAAAAUGGCAGCCUACUGCAACGAGGUCCGUAAGCUCGAAGACAAAUUCGACGAGCUAGAGCUCAACCACGUCGCAAGGCGCUUCAACGAAGCCGCCGACGAGCUGGCGAAGGCGGCAUCCGAAUGAAUGCUCGUCCCCGACGGCGUCUUCGUUAGCGACCAGUUGAAGCCCUCAAUCCGUUACCCAGAACUGCAGGGGUCGGCGAAGCACCCCCGGCCCUGGGAUCGGGACCCGAGUCAGGGGAGGUCGGCAGCGCGCCACCUGUCCGAGACCCGAGCACCAGCCCCGAGGGGGUCGACAACGCUUUGCCCAACUCGGCCCCGGGAGCCGAUCCGUCCGACCCCGGGGUCAUGGAAAUCACGGCAGAUUCCGCGGCGGGUGCCGACCCCCCGAUCGAUUGGAGAGCCCCAUACAUCGACUACCUCGUCCGCGACACGCUCCCGGCAGACAAAACGGAGGCCCGUAGGAUCGCGCGCCGCGCCAAAUCCUUCGCCAUCAUCGACCAGGAGCUCUACAAGAAAAGCCACACUGGAAUCCUCCAGCGCUGCAUCUCGAUCGAACAGGGAAAGGCGCUGAUCAAGGAUAUCCACGCCGGAGCCUGUGGUCACCACGCCGCGCCAAGGACCCUCGUUGGUAACGCCUUCCGACAAGGUUUUUACUGGCCGACCGCGGUCGCGGACGCUACCCAGGUAGUCCGCACCUGUGAAGGAUGCCAGUUCUUUGCCCGCCAGACUCACCUGCCCGCGCAGGCGUUGCAGACCAUCCCCAUCACGUGGCCAUUUGCGGUUUGGGGGCUAGAUCUCGUCGGACCCUUCAAGAAGGCACCCGGGGGCUUCACCCAUCUGCUCGUCGCCAUCGACAAGUUCUCCAAAUGGAUCGAGGCAAGACCGGUGGCGCAAAUCAGGUCCGAGCAGGUGGUCCAGUUCUUCACCGACAUCAUCCACCGCUUCGGGAUCCCGAAUUCCAUCAUCACCGACAACGGCACACAGUUCACUGGGAAGAGAUUCCUCCAGUUCUGCGACGACCACCACAUCCGAGUGGAUUGGGCGGCCGUGGCACACCCCCGCACGAACGGGAAAGUCGAGCGAGCCAAUGGCAUGAUACUCCAGGGUCUCAAGCCAUGGAUCUUCGACCGCCUUAAAAAAUUCGACGGACGGUGGGUUGCGGAGCUUCCCGCAGUCCUUUGGAGCCUGAGGACGACCCCCAGCCGGGCGACGGGCUUCACCCCGUUCUUCAUGAUCUACGGGUCAGAGGCCAUUUUGCCCACCGAUCUAGAGUACAGAUCGCCAAGGGUCAAGGCAUACGACGAACAGGGAAACCAGGCAUCAUUCGAGGACGCGCAAGAUCAACUCGAUGAAGCGCGAGACGUAGCUCUACUGCACUCGGCUAAGUACCAGCAGGCCCUACGGCGUUACCACAGCCGCAAGGUGCAAGGCUGAGCCUUCAACGUCGACGACUUGGUGCUCCGCCUCGUCCAAGACAACAGGGGUCGGCACAAGUUGACUCCCCCAUGGGAAGGCCCGUUCAUCGUCGUACAAGUUCUACGGCUGGGCACCUACAAGCUGGCAACUCCCGACGGGCAGGUUUUCAGCAACGCCUGGAACAUAGAACAGCUAAGGUGCUUUUACCCAUAGCUUUUAUUUCCAAGCCCUGCAUAAAACUUGUCUUCAAUUCCGAUAUUUCCUUUAAGCUCAGGGGUAUCCGACCCUGGCCUCGUUCCAGGGCCGCAUACCCCUCGGGGGCUACCAGUUUUGCUCCUCUGCGAAAAAAAAGAAACCCCGAGCCGUCUCGGUUCAGGCCUUUUCCUUUAAGCUCAGGGGUAUCCGACCCUAGCCUCGCUCCAGGAUCGCAUACCCCUCGGGGGCUAUCAGAGGUUCCGACCCCAGCCGCUCGGCCCUAUCUAAAAGAAACAUUUUUUCUUUUCAAACCGAACACUCCCUUUCUAGACCUUUGGGCGCAAAAAAGAGAAGGAUGCGCGAACGGUGCUCAGGCAAGUUUGAUCGGACUGCGAAAAAACCUACGCCCCAGCGGCUACGGCACCUUCGCUCAUCAAAACUUAAUGACGCACCCGACAACGCAUUCUAAACUUUCAAGCCCAAAGGAACAGCAAAGGGGAUCGGGAUCUUUCGCACAACGAAGUCAUAAACAAGCCUGUAUGGCCAUCACAAAAUAAGUUCGAAACUAACAUAAUUACAUUUUGGGCACAAGCCCGGUACAGUUAACUUGACGAGGGGUCGGCAGGAGGGAUGACCUCAUCUUCCAGGAGCUUCGCGAGGGCCUCCGCCGGCGCGGACACCGCUGCAUCAAUCCCGUCCAGCUCAGCUUCGGUGUAAUCAGCGGCGUACCCUUCACUCAUCCCGGCAAAGUUGAUGCCAGAAUAAUGGGAGCCGAAGACCCCGAAGGCUCGCCGCAUGCCGACGUGAAGCGCGUCCAUGGCGAUCUCGCGACGUCGACGGCGUACCCCAAGGACACGAGCCGGCAGAGAGCUCGACCCCUCCUCCGGAACUACGCCAAAGUCGUCACAGACGACGCGGACCGCAUCCCGCAAGGCGCCGUGCUCGCCGUGCUCCGCGUCGAGCAAACCCUUCAGCUUGGCGAUUUCGCCUGCAGGAACCACCCAGAAAAGCCCACCAAGUCAAGAACAGAACACAAAAUGUCACGGGAACGCGGGAACGGAAAAAAAAAGCCUCACCGUCGGCCCAGGCCUUCAACUCGCGCUCCCGGUCGGCUCCUUGAGACACGGCGGACUGGAGUCCCUGCACUUGCGAGCGAAGGCGACCAGUCUCCGCGCUAAGGGCUUCACGCUCCCCCCUCAGCUGUGCAAGCUCCCCGGCAUCACGACGGGCCCUCUCAGCGGCAGCUUGAAGCUCCUCGGCGUCGCGGCGGACCCUCUCAGCGACAGCUUGGAACUCCUCGUGGUCGAGGCGGGCUUUCUCGAUGACGGCUUGGAGCUUGGCCUCCGAUCACCGCGCCUCCUCCAACGCCGCCCCCUCACGCCUUUGCAGGUCCCGAAUGACCCCCUGGGCGGCAGUGACUUGCAGGGACAGGUCCCUGGUGCGCUCCCUCUCCGCGUUGAAGCGCUCCCAGAGACCCUGCUGCAGCCGAAGGAAAUCAGAUUUCCCCCGACUGCCCUCUUGGAGGGCCUGCAAAGCAACGUGCCAUUAGAAAAAAAAAAGCAAAAGGGAGGUGCUGAUCACCAACAGUAGGAGCAACAUACCUGGCUGCCAGGGAGGACGGUGUUACCCAGAACCCCCAACGCCGAAGACAGAGCCGCCUCAACGUGGGCAAGGCCGCCCUGCAUCGCCUGCCACUUGUGCCACUCAGUGGCGUCGUCCAGCGUGAAGAGAUGCCUCGGCGGGUCAUCGCGGGAUGACCAGCGAAGGACAGACCCCCUCCACGCCCUGGGAACGGAGGGAGCCGAGGCCGAGGCAGGGGCCGAUCCUGACGCUGCCGUCAAGGUCGGCACCAUUGCACUAGAAGCCGCCGAGUUUACUGACGGCCCCGGCACCUGCACGCUCGUCGCCGCCGAGGCCGCCGGCGGUAUCCCAGUGGGCCCCUCCGCCUCCGCCGCCGGAGCCACUCCCGCGGGGGUAAUUGGGGCGGAGGCCCCCGCCUCCGUCACCGUUGCCUCCGCCGCCGCGCUUUCGGGGGCAGGCGUUCCCUCCGCCACCGAUCCCGCCGCGGCUGCGGGGGCAUCCGCCCUACCUCCCGUCGCCGCCGUCUCCUCUGCCUCGUCGGCGUCGAAGUCGAUCACCUUCCCGGCCUGAGAACCCGGGGGGAUCGUGCCCUGCGCUGUAGGGGCGACUGGGGGGACCGAAGGCGGAGUAGGGUCCGCUCCCCCUCCCACGGCUGACACCGCCGUCGCUCCGCCGGCCGCCACCACAGGGGCCGCCUCCGCGGAGGGGUCCGCGGCCUCACCAGGGACCCCGCCGCUCGCCGCGGGCGGGACCGCGGUCCGCCCCCCAGAGGAGGUUGACAACCGCAACGCCUUCUUAGGCACCAGCUGCAGGGCAAGGCCACGAGGGGCGGCGCUGCAUAUCGACAAACAGACGUCAGCACAAACGAGCGUGAGAAGAGGAGAGGAACGAGGCGCAAGGAAGGCCAACUUACGUCCUUGAAGCACAAGGGCGGCGCGCGCGCUUCGACUCAGAGCCCGACGCCGACCCCGGGGCAUCUGGCAGCGGCCGCUUGUCGCCACUUCGCUGCUCUCCAGUCGCGGGCACGGCGGUGGAGGCAGUCUCUGCAGAUCUCCGAGGAGCACCCUGAGCGGACUCCUGGGGAGCGCCCCGCGCCGGCUCUGAAGUGGCGGCGGGGGCAGGCUCCGAGGACCCCCGAGGGGCGCUCCGCGCCAGCUUUGGGAAGGAGCCCCGUGUCGACCCCUGGGGGGCACCCUUCACCGACCCCUGGGGAGCGUCCCGCGCCCGCUCCUGGGAGGCACCCCGCGCCGGCCCCUGGGGGGCGUUCCGCGUCGACUCCUGGGGGGCGUCUCGUGCCGGCUCCGAAGCGGCGGCGGGGGCAGGCUCCGAAGACCCCCGAGGGGCGCUCCGUAUCGACCCCUGGGGGGCACCCCUUGCCGACCCCUGGGGAGCGUCCCGCGCUCGCUCUUGGGACACGCCCCGCGUCGGCCCCUGGGGGGCGUCCCGCGUCGUCUCCUGGGGACACGCUGUACUGGCCCCUGGGGCGCAGCCCCAGGGCCUGGUGGAGCCGAAGCCCGGGCGGGCGCCUCCUCCACUUCACCUCCCGCGGCCGUCCGCGGGGGUGCCUCACGAAUGGCGAGGGCGCCCGAUCGGAAGGAGGAAAUCAGCUCCUCCUCAUCAUCAUCUUCCUCAUCUUCAUCCUCUUCAUCAUCGUCGUCAUCAUCGUCGUCGUCGUCAUCGAACACGACCGACCCCCUCCGCCGCCGUUGGAACUCCUUAGCGGCCUUCUUCCUCUUCUUCGCCAUCUCGAUGUCCUUCCGGCGCUUCUGCGCCUCGGCGAGGAGACGGUUGUGCGUCCGCCGCUCAACAUCUUCCGGCACCGGCGGGAGCGAGUGCGCGACCCGGGUUAGCGGACCCUACAAACGCAAAGCAGCUCCACGUCAGAGUGACAAUCGCAAGACACGAAGAAAGGAGGAGGACGCCCCAACUCCUUACCAGAUCUAUGAGCCCGCAUCCGGGCGCAUCGGCGGGUGCCCGGGAAUCGGGUACUCGACGUCCUUGUCCUCCAGCGCCUCCCGAAUCCGUUGCCGGAUCUCGGAAGCGACGAGCGCACCCGUCGCCAAGGCGGUGCCCUCGGUCGGCGCGUCGGGGGUCAUGGCGGCAAGCGGUCGGAUUCAGAGCAUCAGUGGCGCCACCCGUCGGGUGUGGUACGCUCCGAUGACCCCGGCGCCGGUGAGCCCGUCCCGCUUCAGCCGCUCGAUGGCCUGCAGCAGGUCGAAGAACCGCUUCUUGUCCUUCUCCACUGGCCCGUACGCCCACACCUCCGGCGCCGCGUCGAUGGUACGGCCGGUGAAAGCCGGCAGGGGGGAGUUCGGGUAGUUCUUCACAUAGAACCACUGGUUGUGCCACCCCUUGUGGGACGCCGAGGUCUUCAUCGUCAUGUUCUCCUUGGAGCGGGUAUGACGAAGGUGGAUCCCGGCGCACCCGAUCGGCACCGGAGGUGACCGCUGCUGGCUCCCUCGCUUCUCCGUCUUCUGGUACAGGCUCACUGUGAAAAAGUAUUUCCACAGCGAGAAGUGGGGCUCAAUGCCUAGGAAUCCCUCGCACAGGGCGACGAACGCCGCAAUGUGCUGGAUCCCAUUGGGUUUGAGGUGCUGGAGCUCGAGCCCAUAGUAGUGGAGGAGCCCCCGAAAGAAGCGGCUCGAGGGAGAGGCGAACCCCCGCUCAUGGAAGUGAGCGAAGGAGACGAUGUAGCCAGAGAGAGGCUCCGGCACCUGCUCCGGGCCCGACAGCAACCACUCAGCCGCCUCCGUCUUCUCGCAGAGGAGGCCUUUUCGCACCAGGCCCUCGGCGCGCGAGGAGGUGAAAUGGGAGAUCCCCCAGGAACCCAUCGCCGGAGGAGGGAGAUCAACGGAGGUGAGAAGAAAGGGCACGGCUUGGAGCAAAGGAAACGAAGCGGGCACGGACAAACUGAACGCUAGGCUGGAGGGCGGAAAGGCUCGAAUGCAGAAGGCGGGCGGAACCGGCGCGGCGGGCUCCCGUUUUUAUAGGAAAGGUACGGGAGAAGCCAAAUCGACGCCCCGGCCGCCAUAAAUGCGGCGCCAGGUACGCCCCUGCCACGCCCGUUUCCUUUUCGAAAACCGCGCGCACGGCCGGCCGCGAAAACAUCCUAUCCUCCUCGAUUCGCGGGAUGGCGCUUCCCAUAACUCCACCUCCCGGAAGGCACGACGUCCCCCACGUUCGGCCCAGACGUCACGACCGCUCCGUUCUGGCCCAAGGCCCACCGAAAGGUAAGAAAGGGAUACGGGGCUGAAAACGCCCCUACGGCCCAUUACGGUCCAGAGGUUCGAAGGCUGGCCCACCGCGGGAUCGACAGCUGCCUCAGGAUAUCUCCCGAGCAAGGGGUGAGAAGGGACGGGUCCACUAGCGGCCAACACCCAGGCAAGCGAAAGCCAAGGGCGUCCCGACCUCACGUUCGAGUCCCGUCCGGUAUAAAGUUCAUGGUUUUUCCACGGGGAAAGGCAACGAGCCCCCGGAUUCGGCCGAACGGACCCGGGAACUAUAUGAACUGGCCGGCGGGAAAUUGUAGUACGCCACCAGCUUGGCCCGAGCCGGACCCCCCCGAACGGGGACCGGGACUCCACUCGAACCUACCUGUUCGCAGCUCAAAGCGAGCACCACGGUUCGUCCAACUAGGAUAACGUGGCACGGCUCAACCCCUCCGUCCUAGCGAACGGACGCUUGAGGGGCAACGACCAAAAGUCGACCUGGCCUCCCGACCGGUCUCCCGCAACGAGCAGGGGCUCGGGGGCUAGCAUCGCAACCAACGACCAUGCGUAUGGUCACGAUUCCCAGGCUCCCCGGCCAAACCGGGAUGAAGCAAGCGCACCAUAAACAAAAUCCACGGAGAAACGGCGAAAGAAGCCUCCGGAGGAGCACUUUUUGCUCCACCACAGGCUCGGGGGCUACUGUUGGGGGGAAAUAUUAACGAUCCCCUAAAUACCGCUUAAAGGAGCAGACGCGAAGGCCCGGGCCCACCUAAGCAUAAUCAAAACUCCGCCUCGCCCGACCGCGGCCUCAGGGUCAGGAACGCCCGACUCCCCUCCACGAGGUUUCCGCCUCGUCCGACUACGGCCCCAGGGUCGGAGGCGCCCGACCCCUCGCCACAAGGUUCCGCCUCGUCCGACCCCAAGCGCAAGGGUCGGGCUCGCUGGGGCCCCCAGGGCAGGCAUCCCCCUCGGAUGCGGACCAGGUGGGCAAGGUAAACAAAUGCUGCGGGUCCCUCCCCCGUCGGGCUCAUCAUAAAUGCGCCGCAGGCCUGGCAGAGGGAGGAAUGACCGUGCUCCUCACACAACCCGCCGCAAGUACCCAUGCACGACCAUACUCUACAAGCUACAGCGCUGGCGGCUCACUCCCAUUCGCCGCAGGGUACUCAUGGCCUGCGCCGACCGGAGCGGAGGAGAGACUCGCCUGUCCUCGGGCCCCGCGCACCCUCGGGUCCCGUGCGCCUGGCAGCUAGGAUGUGACGCCCUCUCUCCAGGAGCCAUCAUCAGAACGGCAGCAUCCACCGUCCUCCCCAACGGACACCGGGAUAACGACGAAACGCCCUCAUCAUAACCCGACGCCGACGGAUGCCGAAGGAGCUAUCUGUAGGGUGCGACGACAGUUGGCGCACGGCCGCCUCCCCCUCCGGCAUGCACGCCGGCGCUCGCCAGGAGCCGGCGGAGGCGUCGGGCGUCUAGGAACUUGUUCCUCCCAUCCUGCCGUAUUUUUUACCGUACUACGUUCACAUUUUACGGUCCUCUUCGCCCGAUCCCAACUGUAACUCUGGCCACUCCCCUUGCGAUAUAAAAGGAGGAAGACAGGGCCGGAGGGGGGAUCGGCUUCUUCCCCCUCAAGCCACAGCACGCUAGUACGCUCCCUGAGAACAUAGGCACAAAGAGACUUGGGACCAGUCCCUCUCUCGUCGGUCUGUAACCCCUACUACAGAACUCCGCGUGGGUAAUACGAGCAUUCACGAUACUGGACGUAGGGCUCCCUUUGCCCGAACCAGUCUAAUUCGUGUCUCCCACGCCACCAUCUGAGGCCUUACGCGCAUAAAAGAAAUUUACUAGUCUAAGUCUUGAUCCGCCAAUCUUGACAACGACAAAUCUAAAAAUCCAUAACUAAUUAAUUUUAAAUCAUAAAAGUUUGAAACUAUUACCCAUCAUCUUUUUCUAGAAUGUUACCUUUUAUGUUGGUUUUUUUGAGUUAUUUGCAUAUUAUUGUCCCCAUCUCUAGUGUUUUAUUGCUUGUAGUCAAACCUACUAUUUAUUUAUUGUUGUUUUGCAUUGUAUGAUUAUUGGAUGCUAUGCGAUACAAAGAUAAUUGUUCAACAACCAUAUGCAUCAUGAAGAAAUUUCCGGAUACGAUUGAUAUUAGUACAUUAUUAACUUCUUAUCAAGAAAUAUCAAUGAAGUGUUUUAUAUGAAUAUUUUUAAUGCACCUUGAGUUUUUGGAUAACCUUUUUCAUAAAAGUUAAUUAGAUGCAUUCUUAACUAAAUAAGCCAUUUGGUAAUUUUUCAAAAAUGUUUAUUUAGGUAACAGAAAAUUUAUUUAUUUAUUCUGGAAAAAGUUUUUUUUUAACGAAGUUAGCAAGGAAAGCACCUACCUAUUCUUUAAUUGUUAUUUUAGAUCCGUUUAAUUCGCUCCCACGAGAAGUUGAAUAUAGACCUGCAGGAUGUUACUCAGGUGCUCUAACCACUAGACUAGAGUCCCUUUCGCUUCUGAAAAAGGUUUUACAAAAAUCUUUUCCCUAUUAUCUUUUGUUAAGUCUGGGAUGUUGCCGCACGUGGGAAAGAAAGAACGGGAAACAUAGACCGAGACCGCUGCUGCGCCGCCACCAUGCUUCGCCGUUGGAGGGUUAGGGUUCGGGGUUUCGGGUUAUGGGUCAUCGAUGGCGCGGCUAUCUCCGAUGUGGCUGGGAUAUAUGGGAGGUUGACGGUGGCUAGGUAGCAGGCGGUGGUGGCGGGUUGUGUGCGGGAUGGCGGGACACCACCAGUUCCGAUUUGUGGAAGACAAUAGGUGGCCUCUAGAGGCAGCGGGGGAAUCUUGGUGAGCUUCCCGCGCGGGGCUGGGUUAGGGCGGCGAAGGAUGGUGGCGGUGGAUGUGGCAGCGCGAGCCGCCGGAGAUGAUGGAGGAUGGCGGCGCGGGCGCGAGCAAAGGAGGACAGUGCGAUGGUGAUCGAGGGUUGCGACCGGCGACGCCGGAUGCAGUGGCGAGAGCCGUCGGAGCUAGAGGAGGAGGGCAGCGCGGGGGCAUGGGCGUGCGCGCUCCUGGGCUGCCAUCACUGAAGGUGACAUUGGUGAUUUUUGUCACCUUCUGUGAUAUAUAGAUAUAGACAUGCUCUAGAUAGAGGACUCCUUGGAGAGACCCCGAGAAUGGAGAUGGGCAUUUGGAGCUCUUCCAAAAUAAGGAAUCUAGAGGACUUGCUAGAAUGCAUUUUUUUUGACUUGGUCCAUUGGAGUUGUUCUAAGCCAACAACUAUUAGCAUCCUUUUAGAUAACUCUGUUAAUCUGAAAUACAACAGUUUCCUACUUUAUGUAUAAUGAGUGUCAUUGCGUCACUACGUACGAGGUCUACUUUAUGGCGGAUCUGAAGGUGUGUUUGGUUGGGAUGUGGCUUUUGGAAAAGCUACUGUGAGCUGUGGGCUGUGAAAAAGUAGCGGGGAGAAAGCAGCUGUGGGAAAAGCAGAAGACCGUUUGGUUAGAGCAGCUACGAAACUGUAGGUUGUGUAAGAAAUACCUGUAAUGCCCCUAAAGGUCUGCGGGUGUGUUUACAUGCAAAUUGCUCAUAACAAAAUAAUGUGUUCACUAAUUCACAUGUAAAUGACUAUUUUAGAAAGGAAAAAAAAUAAAUUUUAUAUGUUCUUCAUCCAUAUAAGUGAUUGGUCCACAUAAAUAGAACAAUAUCCAUCAAAAGGUUUAUACAAUGAUGUCAUCUCUCAACAUUACUGUCCUCCUCUCGCACUAACCAAAGCAUCAACUAUCCUAGCAUGAAUGAUAUUCAUGGUAUCCUCAUUCUCCAUAUCGUCACUCUCAUCUCCUUGUGUUUGUCUCGUGCCACUUGUAUAUUGUACCAAGUACUCCUACAAAACCGAGUUAGUAAGGUACAUAAUAAUACACGUAUUUCUAACUUGAUGAAGGAAUCAUGUAUACCUUUAGGAGGCACGAGAAAUAUGUCUCAAAGCAUUGUCGAGAAAAUUGAAAGAAAAGAUGAUGAACAAAGGAGGGUCAAUUCUUGUUGCUCUUUGGACUAGAGGAUUGACGAUGAUCAUUGCAGUCCUAACAAUUCUCUUGUUGCAGAACAGAGUAGCAACUUCUGAGUAGCAUAUGAUUCUUACAUCUUCCAGGCGAGGUGGCUAGUGUGCUGGAUGAAGUUGAGGUCCCUUGGCAACCUGGCAAACGCCUCCGUCAUGUCUGCAGGCAAAAUUUCCAAAAAAAACAAGAAGAUUUCAACACCACCAACAAAGCAAGCAUGUAAUCACCUGAUUAAUCAAUCAGCAAACAAUUCACAACUAGCAAUCUGUAGAAAUUAGCACGCCAUUACCGUCCUGGGUGAUGAGCGGGUAGUCGGAUGCGUUGAGGUUGACGAACCAGUCCCAGCGGCGGUGAAGGCGGAGCAGCAACGCGACGGCGUGCAGCGUGGUGGUGAGCAUGGUGGGGCCCCGGUAGGUGACGAGGUUGGGCCUGCCGACGAUCCACACGUUGCCCGCGAUCGCGUACACACCCCACCUGGACAUGAGCUCUGCCAGCCGGCAGUGCUCCUCCCCUGGACCGCAGGUAGUUGUUGGCCGGGUGGUACAGUGCCGCCAGCAGCCGCAUCGUGCGGCCCACUUCCCCUGAGGAUGCCGAGAUAAGGUAUGCGAACGAGAUCGGGUACCGCGGCGCCUCGCCGGCGGCACCGUCGAAGGCGGCCAACGAUGAGAGUGUUGACGUCGGUUUUUGACACGUGUCAGGGUCGACGUCAAGAGGAGAAGAAAGUGGCUGAUGCGGUUAAACAAGAAGCUAUGGCUAGAGAAAUCAGUCAGUAAAGCUAUAGUGUUUCAGCCGAUUAGCUAAUGAGAUAGAUGAAGACUGGCCGAUUGGAAGCUAGAAAAGCUCGGCCGAUAUGGGCCUAAAUGGGCCAAGGUGGUAACAAGAUGAAGAUAGGAUUGGCCCAUAGAGGAUUGGAUGGUGUUCGACUCCGAUACAAGUUGUAUCCGUAUGUAAAUAUUUGUUGCUUUGAAUAAGAAAUAGAAUAUUGAGUCAUAGUCGGUUAGGAAACGAGUUGUAACAGGGUAUAAAUAGGUGCCCCGUGAGGCUGGCAAAAACAUCAACAAACAUCAAUACAAAUCUACUUUUUCAUGCAACUUUACUUUCAUGUCGGCGACUUUGCCAAACCCUUUUCUUUUCACGAGUUCGUGUGAGUUGGCAGGGCUGCAUCAACGUGAUCUCCGAGCAAUUUGUAAGUUCCGCGUUUCGAGUAAUAUAUAAGCUUUAACUUUGGGCGUAUCGCUGUUGUUUUGUUUAGAUUUAUUCACUAGUUAUCGAUAUUUGCUAGAAUUAUAGGUUUUAUUCUCCGGUGGAAAGAUUGUGCCUUUGCCUGUAUUUCUCUUGCACUAAACUCAGGCGAUACCUAUUAUCGGCGGAAUGUGUGGUCGCGUGUAAAGUUGAUGUUGUCAAGUAUAUGUUAUCACUGCCGAUCUUGAAGGGAAGGAUUGGAAAAUGUAUUCUGGCACUCUCAGAAUUCGAUCUCAGGUACGAAUCGGCCAAGGCCGUCAAGGGUCAGGUAAGGCUGAUUUCGUCACCCAACACUGUGGAUCAGAAAUUACUGUCGUUGAGCCGGCUCCAUGGACUCUGUACUUCGAUGGAUAUUCGUGUGGGAUUGGAUCAGGAAUCGACAUAAUUCUUAUAUCGCCUCGGGGGGCAAGUUAUGAGUUCUCUCUGCCGAUUGAGGCUUCCGCUACUAAUAAUCAAGCAGAAAAUCGGGCUGUCUUAAAGGGCAUCCAAUUAUUGAGGGAGGUCAAGGCUGACGUGGUAGAAAUAUUUGGGGAUUCCAUGAUUAUCGUGGAUCAGUUGAUUGCAAAGUGUGAGUGCAAGGAUGAUAUUCUAAGGAUUUAUUAUGAGGAAUGCCUCCGGUUGCUCAAAGAAUUCAAGACCGUAACUAUUGAACAUAUCCCUAGGGAUUACAAUGAGGAAGCCAAUAGACUUGCCCAGCACGCUUCUGGCUACUGGCCGAUUCAUGGCGCUUUCGCUCUAGAGCUGGCGGCCGACAACUGGAGGAAGGAGAUCGCCGAUUAUUUAAAGGAUCCAUCCAAGAAAGUUGAUCGGCAGAUACGCUUCCAAGCCACAAAGUAUGUGUUACUUGAAGAUGAAUUGUUUUAUCGGACGAUUGAUGGAGUGUUUCUCAAGUGCCUUAGCAUUGAGGAAGCAAAGAUUUUGAUGGGUGAGAUUCAUGAAGGUCUAUGUGGGACCCAUCAAUCGGCUUUCAAGAUGAAGUCGAUGAUUAGAAACAAUGGGUAUUACUAGCUGACAGUACUUGAAGAUUGUUUCAAAUAUUAUAAAGGCUGUCAGGAUUGUCAAAAAUUUGGCAACGUGCAACGAGCCCCGGCCUCGGCUAUGAACCCGAUAUUAAAGCUGUGGCCAUUUAGAGGCUGGGUAAUUGAUCUCAUCGGUUAGAUCUAUCUGCCGUCAAGCAAAGGGCAUAAGUUCAUAUUGGUGGCGAUUGACUACUUCACCAAGUGGGUUGAGGCGGUUCCUUUGAAUGUUGUGAUGUCGGCCAACAUGAUCGAAUUCAUGAAGGAGCACAUCAUUUAUCGAUUUGGUAUUCCUCAGACCAUCAUGAUUGAUCAGGGGUCAAUGUUUACCUCAGGGAGUUCGAGGAGUUCACUGCCAGUAUGGGAUUAAGCUGUUGAAUUCUUCUCCGUAUUACGCUCAGGCCAAUGGUGUGACGACCCCGGUUAAAUCUUUCGAGUUAAUCUUAAUACGAGCCCCAAAAUUCCUCUGUCUCAGUUUUUCCCGAGCAGGAGUGCUCCACUCCAGUUCCUGUUCCUGACCCGUGAAGACUCUAACUCACCCCGCCAGUUCCUUUUAAGUCUCAACAACAGUGUCCCUUUCAAUCUUGAACAGAGGAAAGACCGAGACUGACGGAUGGACCCGCAAUCUUUUCCCCGGAUCUCCCGAGGCAUACGCACUCGAGCGGCCUGCACCGCUUCAGAGCUCCCCCGCCGCGUGGCUCAACUUCUCCGACGCCCGCCGCUUCACCCAAUCGCCGGCCGGGACAGGAUAGAUUCUCACGCCCUCCUCCCCAAUCGCAGCGGAAGCCCCUCUGCAACCCUUUCUGCUGCGCCUCGUCUCGCUCGCGCCCUCGCCGGCCGCGCCUUGGUGCUCCGACACCGCUGUGGCAGAGCUUUGCCGCUUGCUGCAUCCAAACUACCUCGCAGCUCACGCCCGUCAUCAUCUCACUGGAUCCCCGACUGCAAGGCCCGAUGCCUUCCGACUUUUCCACCGCCUCUACACAGUCGCGCUCGCCUGCGCAGCCGCAGCCUGCCUAUCUUUUCACCGGUUGCAACCUCGCUUGUAGCGCCGUUCUCCCUGUCACACCCAUCAGAUCCGCCGCAUGACGACGCCCGCCUCCGCCAAACCUCAACUACCGGCAAAACCGCGCCUGCGCCGCCUUGUCUCCCGUGCCCAAUAGCCAAGGACCCUAUCUCCGAAAUCCUGUUCCGCCGCCCAUCGACGCCCAGUCGCCGCCAUGGCAGCGCACUCCAUCCUUUUCUUCCGGUCUUCGUGCUACUCCAACUCCCUCUCUCUUUCGCGCAGCUAUAAAAAGGAAUGCCAGAGCCCUACUGGAGAUCCCUUCACCAUCGUUGCCUCGCCGCCUUGUUCCUGAGCGCCGCCACCUAAGUUCUUGAGGAACUCUCAUCUUCGCUCAACACCCGCCCCUCCCAAUCCACCAAGCCGCCUGCUCCUCCACGCUAUGCUAGAGCUUCCUUGUUGCUCACAAGAAGCUCCGCCGCCGCCGGAGCACCGCCGGACAUAGCCGCCACCAAAGCCUUAGUGCUUAAGACCUUCCGCCCAAGUCUACUCCUUCCCGACCCCAAAGCUUCACCUAUAAACCAAAGGUAAGCUGCCGACCCCUUACCGGUUCGCCCGACCCUACCUGUUCGCCUGACCCUACCUGUUCGCCCGACCCCUCUUUCCAUCUCGCCCGACCCUGUCUGUUAGCCGGCCCUUAUCUUCUUCGCCCGAGGACUCGGCUGUACUCUUUUCCUUGACCCGAGGGUAUCUGUGUAAGAUUUCGGGGACUUCUCUGUAAUAGCUUUGAGGACCCCAAACACAUUAAGGCUUAUGGGUCAGAUCAUAAGUUCUUCCAAUUCGACCCUUGGUCUUGUUCUCUAUCCACUGAAGCUUGAACCCCCACACUCUUUCCGUAGCUUUGCUACAAGUUUCUGGGCUAAGACUUGCGAGUGUUGCUGUUGAAAUAACCGUCUAGACACUAACUCCAGCAUUGCAUUCGUGUAGAGUUUCAUCUUGCUGACGGCGUCUACGAACUACACCCGGUGCCAGAAGACGGAGCUGUAGCUGAGCUACCAGUUCCAGAAGCCGAAGUCGCACCAGCUGAAGACCCGCUUCCCUCCCCUCCACUUGAAGGCAAGUCCCGGAGCAUGAACCCCAAAGUUUCCCAAACUUGCGCAUGCCUUCUUUCUCAUGUUUGUGCAUUUACGUAUAGGAGUUGUUUGCAACCUUAGAUGCAUGGUAUAGUUCCUUGAUCGGAACACUAGUUGUUGAAUCGAGUAGUUGCUAUGCUUAAAUAGGAAGUGGUAAAAGUCGAGUGAUUUCCUGUCACUCGCGAGUUAUAGGAGUUGGUUGUUCUCCUUCUGUUACAACUAUAAGGACGAUGGAUGGGGCAAGGUUUUGGUUAACUCUUUUGCUAGUCGGCUGAUCCCCCCGUCUGUCUAUGGAAUCUGUUAAGGCCCGAUAGUGGUGGUGUUCGUGAUCAAGUGUUUGAAAGUACUAAUCUCAUACCUAGUAUGGGAUGGGGAAGCCUAGUACCUGAUUGAACUAGGGCGUGGCUUAUACCCCUGCUGUCCCUGGAACGAGGUUCCCAUGGUGCAUCAUGUGGGUGCAAGUGCGGUCACAGUACGGUAGAGGCCGGGAUUGUGGAGCAUUGCAUGCCAAGGGAAGUUGGACCUGACACGUGCCUGGGAAUUGAUGGGGACGGCUGACACAGGAAGCGACCCUUGUGGUGCGCGGAUGUCGUGAGAUUAGGUUUGCCAUGCAUGGUUAAGAAACUCGAAGGAUUCGUCUGCCUCUCACAGUUUGAGACUGCUUGAUCGCUAUGCUACACUGAUUAAUGAAAGAGUCUGAUGAUGACAUGGUCUUGAUGAGUAGCUUAUAUACAUAAAGUUGGAUCUAUGUUUGCUUAGAGUAAGAUGCCAACGUAGACUGGUUAAUGAACUUAGAAUUUGAGCUAAAACUUGAAAGCAAGGACCUAACGUAGUAGCUUUUGGCAAACAAAACCCCUCAGCCAAAGAGCCUUGCAUGUCUAGACGUGGUGGAGUAGUUUUACCACCGGUCGGUUAAGUCUUGCUGAGCGUAGCAGCUCAACCUUGUUUGUGGCUUUCUUUUCAGGUGAAGUCGCAGCUCCUGAGUUUGCUUCCGUUGGCACUUGGCCGCCCCAGCUCCCUCCGGGUUGGACGGUUGAGUGGGAUCCUUCCUCGGACGGUGAGGAGAGGGAUCAUUGAUGUCCUGAUCGGCCUCAUUAGGGACAUCCGACCCUGGCGCUAGCUUCCGCUAAUUUAGCUUUCCGCUGCUUUUGAAUCUUGUAAAACUCUGAUUUUUGUUUUUAUGUUGAACUAAAUUGUCAAACUUGUUUAACUCAGUGGAUCUGUUGUAUUCUCUGAAACCGCUCACCUUCGUGUGAGUUUCGCUAAUCCGGUCCUGUAAGUGGUUUAAUCGGAGGAAAUCCGACGGCCCUUCGAGUUAACUUGACUAAGGCAUAAGUGUCGCGUGUCAGGCGACUUAACAAUGCUUUAAUCAAGGUAAUCCGAGGUGGUUCCACCACAAAUGGUCAGGCCAAGUCAUCAAAUAAGGGGGUUAUUAAACUGAUUAAAAGGAAGGUCAAAAAACAACCAAGACGGUGGCAUACAACGCCGAAUGAGUCCUUAUGGGCUUAUCGGAUGGCUUGCCGCGGUGCCACCAAGGUGUCCCCUUAUCAGUUAGUAUAUGUGCAUGAAGCAGUAUUACCUUGGGAGUUGAAGACUGGGUCUAGACGUGUGUCACUUCAGAAUCAGUUGUCGGUUGAUGACUAUUCCGCCCUCAUGAGGGGAGAAUUGGAAGAUUUGGCGAAUCAACAGCUAAGGGCUUUGAUCAGCAUUGAGGAAAAUAAGAAAAGAGUCACCAGGUGGUAUGACAAGAAGGUCAAGGUCAAAAGGUUUUCCCAAGGGGAUUUAGUCUGGAAGUUGGUUCUGCUGAUAGUAUGGAAAAUGGUCGCCCACUUGGGAAAGGCCAUAACGGAUUAGCCAAUGUGCUCUAGGCAAUGCAUACAUACUGGAGACUUUUGAGGAAGAAGAAUUUACAAGGGCCUUGAAUGGAAGAUAUUUGAAAAGAUACUACCCUAGUAUAUGUGUAGGCGCUUAGCCGAUGAUGUGGCAUAACGGGCUUUCACGGUCGACGCGUACUGAUUCGUGUUCAUAUAGCCGAUGCAAGGGGCAUCGCCUUAAGAUUGAAAGAGGCGAAAUAGUGUAUAUAUAACUAAACCGAUCAUUAUUCGGUACACCAACUAAAUAUAUGGCCGGCAUGAUACAAGUCGCCCUUAGAUAAAAAGUACCGACACAGUUAUGGGUUACAACGAUUUAACAACGUUUCAUGUGAGCUUUAUUCAUAUCGAUUUCUUUCUGAAGUCGAUCCAAUUCGAUCUGGAGUCGGGCGUUCUUCUCCUCUAGUUCUGCCAUGUCAUCUUCAACAGCAACUUGACAGGGUAACAGAUGGCUUCUUUCGACUGAUUGCCGUGGUUGCCUUCUAGAAGCUUUAGCCUCGAUGUCAUCCACAAUCCUCUUGAUAUUCACGGGGAGGUGAUCUCUGAGUUCCUCACGAUGAGUUUGGAUCAGGUCUUUGUCAGCCUGAGUGAGCGGUUCAUCGGAGUGGAGGAUCUCAAUGGCUCGUUCAAGAUCACGGCUGAGUCGGUUUGGCUACGAGAAGAAUUGAUGAUCAAUUGACAGAGGGAUUGGUCGAGAGAUAGGAGAUUGACUUCGUACCUGAUUGACAGAGGAGGAGGAGGCCAUCUUGGUCGCUCGAUCGAAGAUUUGUAAGCGCGCGCAAGGAAUGGUUGAGUGGGUGUUUUGCGAAUGCCUUCAGAAGGGAUGCGAAGGGUUUGUACUUAUAGAACAGAAUGGCAAUGGACAAAGGUCGGUAAAAGGAGGGCAUUUAAAGAAAGCGACCGUUGAGUCAUAAAAGCUACGUGAGGACUGUUCAGACUUGCAUUUCAGACAAAAACGCCAAAAGUAUCAACGUUACACAAGAUGUUCAAAGGCUGGUUGAGUUCGUUACAACUAUCCGAGGAGAUUGUUUAUGGUCUCAAUCGCUCGCAGGCGAACUUGGUUGGCCACCUCCAACACUCGCCGAUCAUCAUCGGCUGAUCCUAAGACUUCUGGCGCAUUGCGAUGAAGAUGGAUGGCCUCGUGAGUGAGGGAUUGUCUUUCUUGUUUAAAAUCAACGAUGGCGGUUGGAAGAUCUUCAAGUUUCUUUUCUUCGGUAGCGAUAGCCUUUACGACCAGUUCCAUCUCCUUGGUGAGCUCUGCUCUGCGCCAUUUGAGUUGGUCUAUUUCACUGAUGAUGCUUGGAUGAGAAGUCUCAUGGAGACCGAUCUACCGAUGUACGUGUUGUGCACGGUGCUUGUAGGACUCUUCUUCUUGACGCACCAUCUCCAAUUUAGCACGGUCAGCCAUGUGUCGCAAGGCUCUAAACACCGGGACCCGCAUGGUUUCGAUAUAUGCUGCGGGUGUGAGAACCUCUUCUGCGUCUUCUGGGACUUGGCCUUUGAUCUCGUUGAAAAUCCACCGUAUCAGUUUGGCAUCUUCCACCAAUCGACCGAUGUUUUCCUGAAGAAGGGUUCGCAUGUUUUGGAGCUUGGCACGGACAUCUUCUGGUAUUGAGCUCAGAGUUAUUUGGCGUGAUGCAACUUCUUCGUCAUCAGAGACCGCAAUUGCAGAGGAGAAGAGGCUUUUGUUUGGCGUGUCUUACUCCUGCAGGGAUGUGGGAAAGUGUUUUAGCCGAUAAAAGUAAAAAAUCGGCUGGUAGAUAUAGAAGGUUCUUACCUCCUUCAAACAAAUCUCUUCUGCUUGGGUUGGCAGAGUCGUUACUCCCACCUCAGAAGUUUGCGGAGGUAGCUCAUUAGAGGGGGAAGACUUGACAAUGAUCGGCUCUCUAGGCGUAGCUGAUAAUGUGCUUGGACCAGCCUCCUGGAAAAGGAACAAAGGAAUCAUUUUUGAGUAUAAAAUAAUACUGGAUCUAAGUAGAAGUCUCGGUUUUCUUACCUCUCGGACGCGCGCAGCCAACGGUAGCACCAGGGGAAUGACUGACGUAUCUGGAGCGUCCUGUGUCAAGAAUCGUCUGAUUUUAGUUAUCAGAACUGUGGAGACUAAGGGAAGAGCAUGUUCUUUACCUCAAUUUGAAGAUUUGUAGGUAACACAAUUUUAGCUUGAGAAUCGGCCAAUUAAGGAACAGUCUGCUCUAGGAUAGGUUGUACGGCCUGUUGAAAAGAAACAAAUUUAGUAUUGGUGAUACAUAUGAAGAAGUCAGAGCAGAAAGAUUACUCGUGUAGCUUUCACCAAGAGUAACACAAUCGCCGACCCAGCCUCUGAUGCUGCUAGGGGAUCAAUGUCCUGAAUUGCCGACAAUACAUCUGCUUGGAUUGGUGCGGCUGAGGGCUCGACCGAUGUUGCUGCCGAUUGGUGGGUUGUUCGAGUUGUCGUAGAUUCAGUACGAGCUCAUACCCUGCGACUCGUCUUCUUUGUGGUGGAUAUUUUGAGCUUAUGCUUCAAUCGGUUGGUGGCUAUGUCCUCCAUUGAUGGGGCGUGAUAGCCGAUGAGAGGGUACGGUGUGUACGGAUGAUGGGUCUGUAUCAGUCUGCCACUCUAACUGUGCGUUGGAGGCACUUGGCUAUCAACCUGUGCAGGGUAAAAGGAUAAUGAUAAGAAAGUUCUGCAACAUGUGAAAAUUAUUGGUAAGGAAUCGACAAAAAAGUAUUGUUACCUCUGCAUUCGGAUCAGUGUGAGCGGGGUCCAGUUGAUUGCAAUACACUGCAGGGGCCGCACAGGAAAGGUACUGUUUCCACUCGGCCCACCACAAUUUGAAUUGUUGAGUGGAGAAGGGGACCACCAGCCAAGCGCUCAGAUCGAUGGUGUCGGAAUCCGGUGUCAGAUUACACAAUCUGUUGUAUUCCAGUCCUUUUGAAAUCGGUUCUCAAAAUUUCACUCGGCCGACGAAGUGAAUCCGAUUGGUAUUUGUCCCAAGCCAAAUUGCCGAGCUGCUACCGACGGGUUAUAGAACUCAUAUGUUGGAGAGUCCUUGCCAGAGAAGAAAUUUGCCGGUAGAAUCCCAGGUUGAUCAGGGUGUCCAUGAUUCCUUCAUCGAAGGUAUCGGUAGCCUAGUCAAAACAGUCAGGAUUCUAAAAAGUUGGGUUCUCUCUCUGAUAUGGAUACCAAUUCGUCACCUCUUCUUUAAAGCUGUUGUAAAAGCAUCUAAAGUGCUCGGCUAUUCUUGAGGGGGCAAGCUUGCCGCCUGGGAAAGUGGAUACGGCUUCACUAAAGGAAGUACAGCGGCGUCUGGCCAAUGGGUCGGUUUCUGAUUUAACAUUAGGAAAGUCUUGGUCUCAAUCCGCUCCUUGAAGAUUUCGCUCAUAUAUAAGUUGAGCUAGAGAUUGACAAACCACCAAGGACCACCAGGAUUCCUGAUAGGUUCUCCAGAUGAUAGCUUCACGCCGAUGUGAUGCAGCAUGUAAUACACUGACCCUAGUAGAUGCUUUCCCAAAGGGACUGUGGCUCCUCUAACUAGUGCUUCGGCCAAAGCCUGUGUGUUGGAAGUAGGACUGGCUAAUUUACCACAGAAGACAUACCUUUCCUGCCACAUCAUCAAGAAGGUCGUGUGCUCUUUUUCUGUGUUGGGUCCGGUCCUCAUGUUCUUCUCAAUGUAGCCUUUCCAUGUGCUGAUGGCUUUCGUCUCCAGCCGAUGGGUGGGUUUGAUUAAGAAAUCGAAAGGUGAGUCGGUGGAGGAAACAUCGAGGCCAGUCAGCAUCAGAACAUCGGCCAGGGUUGGAGUCAUUGGCCCAUGGUCGAAAAGAAAUGCAUUGAGAGCAUCGGACCAAAAGUAAGAUGCCGCGAUGAGCAGAGAUUCUUUCUUUUCCAUAUGAGAUAGAGAUAAAUUUCUGCAAUGGCCGAUUUUUCGCUCAUCCCAGAAGACUCUGUUGGAAUUUGACAUUCUAAAAAACCAAUCUCUCCAUCCGGGGGUUUGAUUCGGCCAAGACUUGAAAGUGUUCGCCCAAUUGUCUAGUUCCAUGGUCGAUUGCUUAAAAGGGAUCCUGUGAGUUUCUAGUUUAAUCAGAUCGGUUGGGUUAGGAUCUCCCAUAGAGCCAAGAUCGAUGAAUCCAGGGGUGUUGGCCAUGGGAUGGUGAUUCUUUGCCUGAGUUCUUGAGCAAAUGCGAAGAAAGACUAAGAACAGAUCUAAAAUCGCGAAAAGAUGAGGAGAGCCUAGAAGACUUACCUCAGGAACGAAGGUCAUGGUAGCUAUGGGUGCCACCAUUGGAGCUUGGGAGUUGGUGCGGUCGGUGAAGGACGUGAGCAAGUCACUGGAGUGCGCUGGGAUGUGCCUAGAAGUGGCACGAGCAAGGUCGCUGGGGUGUGCCGGGAGAUGAUUCGCUGGAAAGGAAACCCUUUUCGCCCGGAGGAAGAUGAAGCGGCGGAAGAGAUGAGUAUCUGCACGAUGACUCGGGAGAAGGGUAAAUAUGAAAUUUUUACCACGCCGUCUGCGCUAAUUUCGAAAGGAGCGGUUGCCUACAGGUGCUCAGUUCGAAAAAAUGCAAUCAUCAAGGAGAAGAUUUCGGGAGCAAAGAGGGUUUUGCUGCAUUUAUUGUUGCGUCUUUUCUGAAAGAAGGAAUCAGAGUUGAGAAAAUUUCGGAGAAAAAGAUAUGUUUCACUAUGAAGCUGGGAGGCAUGUGUUGAUGCCAGUUUUUAACACGUGUCAGGGUCGGUGUCAAGAGGAGAAGAAAGUGGCCAAUGCGGUUAAACAAGAGGCCAUGGCUAGAGAAAUCGGUCAGUAAAGCUAUAGUGUUCUGACCGAUUAGCUGAUGAGAUAGAUGAAGACUCACCGAUUGGAAGCCAGAACGCUGGAUUUUGACACGUACUUGAAAUCGGUGUCAAAGAAGGAGAAAGGGGGGCCGAUGCGGCGGACUAGAAGCUACAGUUGGGAAUCGGCCGAUUGAAGCUACAAUGUUUCAGCCGAUUGGCGGAAGAAAUUGGUGGAGGCUGGCCGAUUGGGAGUCAAAGCAGUUUGGCCGGUUUGGGCCUAAGGUGGGCCAGGAUGAAUAUUUGCUGAAGAGACAGGCCCGUGGGAAAAUAAUAACCAACUCGAAUACGAGUCGUGUUUGUAACUAUUUGUUGUCGUUUGAAAUUAGAGAUAGAUUCUAGUCGGUUAGGAAAUCAGUUCCAACACGCUAUAACUAGCUACCUCGAGAGGCUUGUAAAAAAAACAACACAUCAAUCAAUACAAAAAAAAUUACUCUUUCCUCGUACUUUACUUUCAAGUCGGCGACUUCGCCAAAACCUUUUUCUUUCACGAGUUCGUACGGAUUGGCAGGGCUGGAUCUACAGGAUCUCCGGCCGAUUCUGUAAGUUCCACUUAUCGAGUAAUACUAAGCUUUAACUUCGGGCGCAUCGCUGUUAUUUUGUUUAGAUUUAUUCACCAGUUAUCGAUAUCAACUAGAGUCAUAGGUUUUACCUGUUAUUUUAGUUUUUAUCACCAAUUAUCCAUCUUGAGGUACGAACUGUCGGUUUUUAUUAUUCUUAUCCUUUAUCAUCACAUAGCCGAUUAGAUCUACUCCAAGUUUUGCUUCUGUAGUGUUGUUUAGGUUGCUGUAAAAGUUUUCCUUAUGAUUGCUACAUGAGUAUCGGCUGUCUUAUAGCCGGUCAUCUCUACGGUAAAUCGGCCGAUUCGCUGAUACGCUCUUCAAGACAGAUCGGAACUCUAGCCGAUCGAAACCCCUAGAAUUUAAUAUUCUUCUUUCCAUGUCAAUCAUUAGGUCAGAUUGACUGGCAUGCCGCGCGAACCGCACUAGGGCAAUAACUCGAACAGGAGCUAAGUAGAUUCUCCUGGGUCGUGUGUCCGACGCUGAGGGUCAUCGGCCAAUUUUCAGCACCAACACACUUUUGGCAUGCCCGGUGGGACCAAACAAGAUCCAACAUGUCGAAGGCUGCUGAGAUCUUUGAAGAUAACGUCCUUGAAGUCAUUGAAGAAAAUCUCAAGGACGAUCAGAAGGAGGAACUGGCGAGGGCUAUAGAAGAAUACAGGAAGACAUGCCUGCAAUCUUUCAUUCGUACCAGAAGCGGGGAGACAGUCAAGAAAGCUCCUCUCUCCACUUCCCGCCAAAUCACCGUCAUCGAGGACUCAGGGAAGAUGUCUGAGAUGAUUCAACAGUCCGUUUAUCAGGCUAUGAUUGACCAAUCCACGGUGAUGACCAACACUGUAUACAACGCCAUCAUCAGCUCCUUGGUUAGCGGCGUAGCUCAGGGGUAUCAGGGACUAGCGUAUGCUCCUCCCAUCGUGGCACCGAUCAGAGGCUUCUUAGCAGCGCCAAACGUGUGUCACUCGACUCCUCAACUAAUGCAGAUGCAACGUGGAGGGUACUACACUUCAAUGCCCCUGGGGUACAAUGGUGCAUCAUUCUAUCAAUCGCAAGAACCGUCUCAUCCUAUGCCAAUUUCAUCCAUACAAUCGCCGCUCUCAAACUCGGCGCCAUGGGGGGUAGCAGCAGCAACCGCCGGUCUGGAUCCGUCAACCAGUUAUGGAAAGUCUCCAGUCCAGGCGUUAUUCCAAUCGGCCGAGGCCGAUAGCCCCGCAAUACCAAACAACCACUUCAGAUAUCGGCAGGAGGACAGGCGCUCUAGAAACACUCAGGGUUGCGGCGUCGAUAAUAUUGUACGAUGAAGUGACAGAUACACUAUGUCAGCAGCCAUCGGCUACUCAGCCGACAACCCAGCCACAAUAUCUGCAGAACACUCCAGUUUAUCACCCGAUCAUGGAACCGCAAAUCCAACAGCACGUACCGAUUCCUCAGCCGGUCGUGCAUCAGCAGCAGGUUGAUUGGACCGCGAAGAUAGCAGAGGUAAUUCAAGAUCAGUUUGUGUUAAAAGCAAAAGUACAAACUUACAUGUACAAGACGCCAUACCCACUUGCCUACGAUCUGUUACCGUUCCCUCAUCGGUACAAAGUCCUUGACUUCACCAAGUUCUCGGGCCUAGACGACACGUUGACUGUCGAGCACGUUAAUAGGUUCAUCAUCCAGUGCAGGGAGGCUGCUACGCAAGAUGCUUUGAUGGUGCGCUUGUUCUCGUCAUCCCUAUCCGGAUCAGCCUUGCAGUGGUUCACUACACUGCCGCCCAACGCCAUCGUUACCUUGGCCGAUUUGGAAAAGCAAUUCCAUAAGUACUUCUAUGCGGGAAUCCACGAGAUGAAACUCUCAGACCUAACUAGCCUCAAGCAAAGAAGCGAUGAGUCGAUGGCCAGCUACAUACAGAGGUUUAGGAAAGUUAGGAACAAGUGCUACACCUUGGUCUGGACUGACACCCAACUAGCCGAUAUCACCUUCCAAGGACUCCUGCCACACAUCAAAGAGAAGUACGCCUCCCAGGAGUUCGAAAGCUUGAGCCAAAUCGUCCAUCGGCUGUCCGGCCAAGAGAUACACCCUUUCGACCAACGAAGGAACUUUCAAAAGAAGGUAGCUUAUGUGGAAGGGUCUGAAUCGGGAGAGAAGGCGGAAAUCGGCCUAGCAGAGUCGGUAAAAGGAAAAAAGCCGAUAUCAUGCCCGUUUGGAAAAAAGGAACCAGAAACAUUCGGCUUUGACACGUCAAAAGCCGACAAAGUCUUCGACUUGCUGCUUCAAGAGGGGCAGAUCAAACUUUCGCCUUACCACACCAUUCCGUCGGCCAAGCAGCUCAAAAAGAUGAAAUACUGCAAAUGGCACAAUACCACAUCCCAAGACAAAAAUGAGUGCAAGAUCUUCCGACAAUAGAUACAAUUAGCCAUUGAGCAAGGAAGACUCAAGUUCGAGGUUCCAGCAAAACCAGUGAAGCCGAUGAAGAUUGAUCAACAUCCCUUCCCCGCCAACAUGGUCAAUGUAGGAAGAAACGCACUCCAAACCAAAGUUUUGAUGUUAGAAUUGGCCAGGAGAAGCGGUGCAGUGGAUCCCAAAAAUCAGGCCACGAUCGGAGAUGUCAAAGGAAAAGGACGGAUGGAAGAAGAAGGUGAAGGAUCAGAAAGGCCACGUCGGCCUGUCACUUCCCAAGACUUACUCAGCAAGUAUCAGCAGCAGCGGGAAGAUUCAAGACGCCACGAAGAGAUGAUGCGCCGACACGAAGAUCACUGGAGGUGCCCGUUUUUCAUCCACUGCUGGGAGAAUAACCUUAGAUUACCGUCGGCUGAUAAUUGCCCUGAGUGCAACGGCCAGUAUCGCAGUGGUCGUCCGUUCAAUAGAUCACGCUCCAAGGAUCGAGGGCUAGAGCCAAUCAGCAGAAAGAGGCACGAGCAAGGAGAUCGGCGCGUUUCAGUGCGUGAUCGGCUGGGGGGUAGAGUUGACCAGCAUAAUCGGCUGGGGGGCAGAACCAGCGCACAUGAUCGGCUGGGGGGUAGAACCAGCGCACAUGAUCGGCUGGAAGAGAUAGCUGACGCCAAAGUCUCAGAUGAGAACCUCCUAGGGUGAGAAUCAGGCUGGGAGCGUGCAAAGCCGCCGAGUAAACCAGUAAACCCCAGAUGGUGCCCAGCCGGUUUGACUAAGUCCUUGAAACGGAGGGUCCAGCGUUUGCACCAAUGGGAGCAGCAAGAAGAAAAACAAAGGUAGGUGAUGGAUAACAAAGGGGACAGGUCUCGAGUAUGGCGUCCUAGAAGAAAAUCCGACGCAGGAGACUAAAAUCAUGAUUCGACAGCUGACUUCAGCAUGAUGUUCAUCUUGCCGAUGGAGUUCAUGCCUCCCGCCGACCGGGACAAUGCGAUAGAGAUAGAGGAGCAAAUGGCACAAUUGGCUCUGGAGCCAAUGACCGCCACUUUUGAGAAACCCGAGGAUUAAAAACGCCAACAUCUCAAGGCCCUGUUCCUCAAAGGACAUGUCAACGGACGACCAGUCACCAAGCUGUUGGUAGAUGGAGGCGCUGCUGUGAACAUCAUGCCCUAUGCUAUGUUCCGCAAAUUGGGCAAAGGUAAAGAAGAUCUAACAAAGACGGAUAUAAUGCUCAAGGAUUUCGAAGGCAACGUAUCUCCGGCCCGAGGGGCACUCUGCGUCGACCUCACCAUCGGGAGUAAGGCCCUACCCACUAUUUUCUUUGUUAUUAAUGGCAAAGGCUCCUACAACAUGUUGCUCGAGCGAGAUUGGAUCCACGCAAACUGCUGCAUCCUGUCUACGAUGCACCAAUGCCUUGUCCAAUGUGUCGGCGACAACAUCGAAGUAGUCAUCGCCGAUUCCACCUAUAGCGUUGCCACGGCCGACGCACAACAGUGGAGCUACGAUCACGUCAAAUUCAAAUAUGGUAGGGUUUGGGACACCAAUUUCCUAAAGGUGUCCGAUUUCGGUCUACAGCCAAUCCAAGCAGUCAGCUCUAAAGAAUCAAGUUAAAAUGGAUCAGUUCAUCUGAGAAGAUGGGAAGCUCGGGCACGGGUUUACGUCGGCCGAUUCAUUGGAGAUGGUGGACCUUGGAGAUGGCAACAAGCCAAAGCCGACGUAUAUUCGUGCUAGGUUAGAACCCGAGUAUAAGCAUGAAUUAAUGAGUCUUUUACGAGAAUUUAAAGAUUGCUUUGCUUGGGAGUAUCAUGAGAUGCCUGGUCUAGACCGGUCCAUCGUCGAACACCGGUUGCCUAUAAAACCAGGGCAUUGGCCGCAUCAGCAACCUGCACGACGUUGUAAUCCUAAAAUUUUACCUGAUAUAAAGGCCGAGAUUACAAGAUUAAUUGAAGCAGGGUUUAUUCGGCAAUGUCGCUAUGCCGAGUGGAUUUCCAAUAUUGUGCCCGUAUACAAGAAAAAUGGAAAGUUACGUGUGUGCAUUGACUUCAGGAAUGUUAAUCAGGCUAUGUCGAUGGAUGGAUAUCCGAUGCCGAUGGCUGAUGUUUUAAUAGACGCCACCGCAGGACACAAAGUCAUCACCUUCAUGGAUGGUAAUGCUGGGUACAAUCAGAUAUUAAUAGUCGAAUAAGAUAUUUCAAAGACGGCUUUCAGAUGCCCAGGCCACCUCGGUUUGUUCGAGUGGGUAGUAAUGAGUUUCGGUUUAAAAAAUGCUGGAGCUACGUACCAACGGGCUAUGAAUUAUAUAUUCCACAAGCUUAUUUGUGUCCUGGUGGAGAUCUACAUUGACGAUGUCGUGGUCAAAUCAAAAGGGUAUCAGGAACACCUGGCCGAUUUGCGAAAAGUGUUGGAAUGCACAAGAAAGCAUGGGUUGAAGAUGAAUCCAAACAAAGUGUGCCUUCGGCGUUUCGGCUGGACAGUUUCUGGGAUUCAUGAUUCACGAGCGAGGCAUCGAGAUCAAGCGAAAAAUUAUAGUUGCUAUCAACAAAGUCGUGGGCCCCCAGAAUAAGACUGAGCUACAGUACUUAAUCAGCAAGGUUAACUUCAUCCGACGGUUCAUAUCUAACUUGUUCGGGCGUAUUCAAGCUUUCACCCCUUUGUUGAAAUUAAAACCCGAUCAAGAAUUUGUAUAGGGUAAGGAAUAGCAGAAAACAUUAGAUGGCAUCAAACAAUACCUAGUCUCGCCACCAGUAUUGGUUCCGCCGCAGGCCAACAAGCCAUUCAAAUUAUACCUAUUGGCUGAUGAACGAGCUAUUGGGUUGGCGCUGGUCCAGGAAUGUGAAGGAAAAUAAAGAGUAAUCUAUUAUGUCAACAGAAGACUCCUGAACGUUGAAACUAGAUAUCCUCCGGUGGAACGGCUGUGCCUUUGUCUAUAUUUUUCAUGCACCAAACUCAGGCACUAUCUGUUAUCGGCAGAGUGCAUAGUCGUUUGCAAAGAUGAUGUGGUCAAGUACAUGUUGUCAUUGCCGAUUUUGAAAGGGAGGAUUGGAAAGUGGAUUCUAGCUCUCUCAGAGUUCGACCUGAGGUACGAAUCGGCCAAAGCUGUCAAGGGGCAAGUAAUGGCCGAUUUCGUGAUCCAGCACUGUGGACCAGAAAUUACUGUCGAACCAGCUCCGUGGACACUAUACUUUGAUGGGUCUGCGUGUGGGGCCGGAUCGGGAAUCGGCAUCAUCCUCAUAUCGUCUCGAGGGGCAAGUUAUGAUUUCUCUCUGCCGUUUGAGGCGUCCGCUACUAAUAAUCAAGCGGAGUAUCGGGUUGUUCUAAAAGGUAUCCAAUUAUUAAGAGAGGUCAAAGCUGACGUGAUGGAAAUUUUUGAGGAUUCCAUGCUCAUUGUAGAUCAAUUAACUGGAAAGUCUGAAUGCAAGGAUGAUAUCUUGAGGAUUUACUACGAAGAUUGCCUCAAGUUAUUGAAGGAGUUCAAGUCUUUGAUUAUUGAGCAUAUUCCCAGGAAUUACAACGAAGAAGCCAAUAGACUUGCCCAACAUCCUUCCGGGUAUCGGCUGUGUUGACGCCAGAUUUUGACACGAGUAAAAUCGGCGUUAGAAGUGGAAGAAAUUAGGAGAUGCGGCGAGAUACAAGGGCAACGAUUGGAAAUCGGCCGAUUGGUGCUACAGUCAAGGAUCGGUUGGUUGGUGCUGCAGUCAAGGAUCGGCCAAUAGAUGCUACAGACGAGGAUCGGCCGAUUGAUCCUUAGAGUUCCGCCUCGCACGACCCCUGGUUUGGGAUCGGACACGCCCGACCCUCCAAGGGAGGAUCUCCGCCUCGCCCGACCCCUGGUUUGGGAUCGGACGCGCCCGACCCUCCAAGGGAGGAUCUCCGCCUCGCCCGACCCCUGAGGUUUGGGAUCGAACGCGCCCGACCCUCCAAAGGAGGAUCUCCGCCUCGUCCGACCUUAGUUCCCAGGGUCGAAAUGAGUCUGAGCCCUCGAUAUGUGGGUCCUGAUCGGUUACCCCCCUUGCCAAAGAGGUGAUCGGCCGAUUAGGAGGUUGGAAUAGUUGGGCCGAUGUGGGCUCAAGAAGGAUUAUGAAGAUGAAGAGGGGGUCAGCCCAUGAAGCGCGUGAAAAUAGUACGAAUCGUACUUGUAAAUAUUCGUUUUCUGUUUAAAUUUAGGGAUAGAGUUCUAGUCGGAUAAGAAGUCGUUUGUACGGGGCUAUAAAUAGCCACCGUUGUAGAUCUGUAAUCAUCAUCAACUCAAUACAACAAACUACUAUUUCCUCGUACUUACUUUCAAGCAGGCGACUUUACCAACACUUUUUCUCCUUUUUCACGAGUUCGUACGGGUUGGCGGGGCUGCAUCAACUUGACCUCCGGCCGAUCUUGUAAGUUCCGUUUAUCGACUAAAUUCUAAGCUUUAACUUCGGGCGCAUCGCUGUCAUUUCGUUUAGAUUUAUUCAUCAGUUAUCGAUAUUUACUAGAAUUCUAGGUUUUACCUGUUGUUCUAGUUUUAUCACCAAUUAUCCAGCUAGGAAUCGGUAAAUUCGGCUUUCUUUAUACUUCUCUGUCUAAUCUAUUUAUUUUAGCCGAUUAGAUCUGUUCCUAGUGUUGCUACUGUAGCGUUGUUUAGAUUACUCUAGCAGUUUUCUUUAUAAACGUUACCUGGUAAUCGGUUGCACUAUAGCCGAUUUCCUUAUUACGGCAAAUCGGCCGAUUCGCUGAUAAGCUUUCUUGAGAUCGGAACCUUAGCUGAUCGCAACCUCUGGGAACUGACACGUUUAUUUCCUUGCCAAUCAACAGUUCAGAUUGGCUGGCUCGCCGCGCGAACCGUACCAGGGCAAUCACCCGAACAGGAGUUAAGCAGAUUCUCCCGGGUCGUGUGUCCGACGCUGGGAAUUCGGUCAGCUGAUUUCUAGUGCCAACACACUUUUGGCACGCCUAGUGGGGCCAAUACAACCGCCACCAUGUCGAAAGCUGCUGAAGUCUCCGAAGAUAACAUCAUCGAAGUGACAGAGGCAGAUCUCAGGGACGACCAGAAGGAAGAACUAGAGAGGCAGACAGCAUACUACCGGAAGACAUGUCUGCAGUCCUUCAGUCGCACCAGGAGCGAGGAGACUAUCAAAAAGGCUCCGUUUCCAACUCCCCGCCAGAUCACAAUCACCGAGGAUUCGGACAAGAUGUCCGAGAUGGUCCAGCAAUCCGUCUAUCAAGCUUUCAUUGAUCAAUCCCCGGUGCUUUCUAAUACGGUAUACAAUGCCGUCAUCAGCUCCUUGGCUAGUGGUGUAUCUCAAGGGUACCAGGGGCCGGCAUAUGUUCCGCUGAUUAUGGCUCCGAGCAAUGCGGCGACAUGAAGAUCACUGGCGAUGCCCGUUCUUCAUCCACUGUUGGGAAAGCAACCUUAGGUUGCCUUCGGCCGAUAAUUGCCCCGAGUGCAACGGCCCGUAUCGUAACAAUCGGCCGUUCAGCAGGUCUCGCUCCAGAGAUGGGAGAUCAGAGCCGAUCAGCAGGAACUGGCGCGACCAAGACAACCGGCGCCCUCCAGUACGUGAUCGGCUGGGGGGCAGAAGUGACCGGUAUGACCGGUCGGAAGGCAGGCGCAAUGAUGGGCCGGGGGCAGAUUUAAUCGACGUGACCGGCCAGAAAAUAGAGUCAGCGUCCACAGACGACUUGAAUAGAUGGCCGAUGCUCGGGUGUUAGAUGAGAACCCUUUAGGACGCGAACUAGAAUGGGAACGCGCCAGGCCACGAACCAAACCGGUGAACCCCAGGUGGUGCCCCGAUGGAUUGACCAAGUCUCAAAAACGAAGAAUCCAACGUCUCCGCCAGUGGGAACAGCAGGAAGAAGAGCAACAGUACACGACGGACGAGAAGAAAGGCAGGUCUUAGGUAUGGCGCCCCAAAAGAAACGACAGAGGAGGCGACAAAUCAGCAGGCGAUGAAUCGGCAGCCGAUAUCGACAUGGUCUUCAUACUGCCGAUGGAAUUCAUGACUCCUGCCGACCAACAGGACAUGUCAGCAAUAGAAGAGUAGAUGGCGCAAUUGGCUUUGGAGCCAAUGACAGCCACAUUCGAGAAGCCCGAAGAAGACAAACGGCAACACCUGAAAGCGUUGUUUCUUAAAGGGCAUGUCAACGGCCGACCCAUCACCAGAUUACUGGUAGACAGAGGGGCUGCAGUCAACAUCAUGCCGUACGCCAUGUUCCGGAAGCUAGGGAAGAGCAAUGAUGACCUGACCAAGACAGACAUGAUGCUCAAGGACUUCGAGGGCAACGUAUCCCCCGCUCACGGCGCUCUCUGCGUCGACCUCACCAUCGGCAGUAAGACCCUUCCUACUACUUUCUUUAUUAUUAAUGGCAAGGGGUCCUACAACAUGCUACUCGGCCGAGACUGGAUACAUGCAAAUUGCUGUAUCCCAUCUACAAUGCAUCAAUGCCUCGUAUAGUGGGUCGGCGACAACAUUGAGGUGGUCACCGCCGAUUCCGCAUACAGCAUCGCGGCAGCCGACACGCAACAGUGGAGCUGCGAAACCGUCAAGUGCAUAUCCGGGAGAGUAUGGGAUACUGACUUCUUGAAGGUGUCCGAUUUUGGCCUACAGCCGAUCCGAGCAGUCGGCUCUGAGGACUCAGAUUAAAUGGAUCAGUUCACCCGAGAAGAUGGGAAGCUGGGACAUGGGUUCACGUCGGCCGAUUCAUUAGAAAUGAUAGACUUAGGCGAUGGCACCAUACCAAGGCCGACAUAUAUUAGUGCAAAUUUAGAUCCGGAAUACAAAUGUAAACUGACAAGUUUGUUAAGAGAACUUAAGGAUUGCUUUGCUUGGGAAUAUCAUGAGAUGCCCGGAUUAGACCGAUCUAUCGUUGAACAUCGGUUACCCAUAAAGCCAGGGUAUCGGCCGUAUCAACAGCCUGCACGGCGGUGCAAUCCUAAAAUCCUACCGGACAUAAAGGCCAAAAUAACGCGGCUAAUCAAAGCAAAAUUUAUUCGGCAAUGCCGUUAUGCCGAAUGGAUCUCCAACAUUGUACCAGUAUAUAAGAAGAACGGAAAGUUACGCGUAUGCGUCGAUUUCAGGAACCUCAAUCAGGCCACACCAAUGGACGGAUACCCCAUGCCGACGGCUGAUGUACUGAUAGAUGCCGCCGCGGGACACAAGGUUAUUAGUUUCAUGGAUGGAAACGCUGGGUACAAUCAGAUACUUAUGGCCGAAGAAGACAUAUCUAAAACGGCCUUCAGAUGCCCGGGUCACCUUGGUUUAUUCGAGUGGGUGGUAAUGACUUUCGGCUUGAAAAAUGUCGGCGCUACGUAUCAGAGAGUCAUGAACUACAUAUUCCACAAACUUAUCGGCAUACUAGUAGAAAUCUACAUCGACGACGUCGUAGUCAAGUCAAAAGGACACCAGGAGCAUCUGGCCGAUUUACGACAGGUGUUGGAAUGCACUAAGAAACAUGGGCUGAAGAUGAACCCGAAUAAGUGUGCCUUCGGCGUAUCCGCCGGACAAUUCUUAGGAUUCAUGGUGCACGAGCGGGGAAUAGAAAUCAAUCAGAAGACUAUAGCGGCCAUCAACAAAAUUGUGGCCCCGCAGAAUAAAACUGAGCUGCAAUCUCUAAUCGACAAGAUGAAUUUCAUCAGGAGGUUCAUAUCUAAUUUGUCUGGGCGAAUCCAAGCCUUCACACCAUUAUUAAAGUUGAAGCCCGACCAGGAGUUCGUAUGGGGGGAAGAGCAACGCAAGGCAUUGGAAGAUAUCAAGCAGUACUUGGUCUCACCACCGGUAUUGGUCCCUCCUCAAACUGGUAAGCCGUUUAAACUAUAUUUAUCAGCCGAUGAACGAGCUAUUGGGUCGGCUCUGGUCCAGGAGUUCGAGGGAAAGGAACGAGUAAUUUAUUAUGUCAGUAGAAGACUUCUGGACGCCGAAACAAGGUAUCCUCCAGUGGAGCGGUUGUGCCUAUGCCUUUACUUCUCAUGUACCAAACUCAGGCACUAUUUGCUAUCAGCGGAAUGUGUGGUCGUAUGCAAGGACGACGUGGUAAAAUACAUGCUGUCACUGCCGAUUUUGAAAGGAUGGAUCGAAAAAUGGAUCUUGGCUUUGUCGGAGUUUGACCUUCGAUAUGAAUCGGCAAAAGCCGUUAAGGGUCAGGUCAUGGCCGAUUUCGUUGCCCAGCACUGCGGGCCAGAGGCUACCUUCGUAGAACCAGUACCUUGGACCUUAUACUUUGAUGGAUCGUCAUGUGGGGCCGGAUCAGGAAUCGGCAUCGUCCUCAUAUCGCCUCGGGGGGCAAGCUAUGAUUUCUCUCUACCGAUAGAAGCAUCCACCACUAACAAUCAAGCAGAGUACUGAGCUGUACUGAAGGGAUUACAAUUGCUAAGGGAAGUCAAAGCUGAUUCCGUCGAAAUUUUUGGGGAUUCCAUGCUUAUCGUGGAUCAGUUAACAGGGAAAUCCGAGUGCAAGGACGAUGUAUUGAGGAUUUAUUACGAAGAUUGCCUCCUGCUUCUGAAAGAAUUCAAGUCGGCAGUUAUCGAGCACAUCCCAAGGAAUCACAACGAGGAUGCCAACAAGCUCGCCCAACACGCAUCUGGGUAUCGGCCGAUUCAAGGCGCCUUGGCUCUAGAGCUCGCGGCCAAUGACUGGCGAAAGGAGAUUGCCGAUUACCUGAAAGAUCCGUCUAAGAAAGUGGAUCGGCGGGUAUGUUUUCAUGCUACCAAAUAUGUGCUACUGGAAGACGACUUGUUCUACCGAACAAUUGAUGGCGUCCUACUCAAGUGUCUAGGAACGGAGGAGGCUAAGACUCUGAUGGGAGAAAUCCAUGAAGGAGUGUGUGGAGCCCACCAAUCGGCACAUAAGAUGAAAUGGAUGAUUAGGAAUAAUGGGUAUUACUGGCCGACGAUCCUCGAAGAUUGCUUCAAAUAUUAUAAAGGAUGUCAGGAUUGUCAGAAAUUCGGGAAUGUCCAACGUGCGCCCGCAUCGGCCAUGAAUCCCAUUAUCAAACCAUGGCCGUUCAGAGGUUGGGGGAUAGACCUCAUCGGCCAAAUUUAUCCUCCGUCAAGCAAAGGGCACAAGUUCAUUCUGGUGGCCACUGAUUAUUUCACCAAGUGGGUGGAGGCAAUUCCGUUAAGGGCCGUGACAUCGGCUGCUAUGGUUGACUUCGUAAGAGACCAUAUCGUCUACCGUUUCGGCAUCCCCCAGACUAUCACGACCGAUCAAGGGACAAUGUUUACAUCAGGAGAAUUCGAGGAGUUCACAGCCGACAUGGGAAUCAAAUUAUUAAACUCCUCUCCGUAUUAUGCCCAAGCUAAUGGCCAGGUCGAAUCUUCCAACAAGGGGAUAAUUAAGUUAAUCAAGAGGAAGAUAGAGGAGCAGCCGAAAAAGUGGCAUCUAUGUCUGACUGAAGCUCUAUGGGCAUACAGGAUGGCUUGCCAUGGGGCCACUAAGAUGUCCCCUUAUCAGUUGGUGUACGGUCACGAGGCAGUACUACCAUGGGAGUUGAGGGCAGGAUCGAGACGCACUUCGCUCCAGGACCAGUUAGCGGCCGACGACUACUCCUCACUCAUGAAAAGGGAACUUGAUGACUUGGCUGGCCAACGAUUGAGAGCUUUGAUAAGCAUCAAAGAAAACAAGAAGAAAGUGGCCAGGUGGUAUGAUAAGAAAGUCAAAGUCAAACAAUUCUCUCCGGGGGACCUGGUAUGGAAGUUAGUGUUGCCGAUCGGGUCGAAAGAUCCUAAAUUCGGUAAGUGGUCCCCUACGUGGGAAGAGCCGUAUAAAAUCGGCAGAUGUGCUCCAGGAAACGCUUAUAUUCUGGAAACAAUCGAAGGAGAGAAGAGUUUACUAGGGCUUUGAACGGAAGAUACUUGAAAAGGUACUACCCUAGUAUAUGGGUCGGAGCAUAAGGAUCGACCAUGAUGAACAACACACAGCCAAUACAAAAGGAUUCGUCUAGAGAAAAAAACGUAAUCGUCCAAAUCGGCCGAUGUAUUUCAUUCGGUACGGACGGUGGGUUACACGGCCGACAAGGUACAAGUUGCCCUUAGAACAAAAAAAAAUUAAUCACGCUUUUUCUUAAGCUCUCUCUCAGCCCGACCUAGUUCUAUCAGAAGACGGAUGUACUCUUCUUUUAUCUCUUUCAUCGAAGCCUCCGCUUCGACUUGACGGGGGAGAGGGUGACUCCGGUCCAUGGCCGGGCGUGAUGUUCCUACUGCUGCAUCUUCAAGGACGAUUUGAUGAGGAAGCGGAUGACUUCUGUCGGCUUGAGGUCGCCGGUGGUCGUUGCUGUCCAGAAAGUCCCAGAUCCAUCGGAUGUCGGCAGGGACGUGCUCUUGGAGUUCGUCGCGAUGAGCUCUGAUUAAAUCCUUAUCUUCUUGCGACAACGGUUCAUCGGAGUGUACAAGUCCGAUGGCUCGUUCGAGUUCGGGGCUAAGGCGCCGUGGCUGCGGAAAGCAACAAUAUACAUAUAGCUGCCGAAAAGGUGAUUCCCUUCAGAAGAGCUAAACUAAGAAAGAGAAUGAAGGCAAAUCUUUUACCUGAUUAACGGAGGAAGAGGUAGAGGAUGGAGAAGACAUGACUGAAAGGCGCACCGACGUGAACAGGUCGAGGAAGAUGAAGCCGAGUUAGAAAGGUACUCUCGGAACGGUCACCUAGGCCGGUGUUUAUAGGAAAGGAAGGCAUGGAUGUUUGGUAAGACGCGUCCCAUCGGGAGUGUGAAAGGUAAUAAAUAAGGGGGCGUCGCGAAGGACGGUCAAAGGGAUCAUUAAAUGUUCGUACAAGAACUGCCAGCACUUUUACAGGUCACCCAGAAGGGCAUCGAUAGCUGCGAUCGCUCGACGCCGGAUCUGAUCGGCAGAGUCCAGGACCCGUUGGUCAUCCUCUGCCGAUCCGGGGACUUCUAACAUAUGGCGGUGGAGUUUGAGGGCCUCGUGAGCCAGAUGCUGCCUCUCUCGUUUCAGAUCGGCAAUGACAGAAGGGAGUUCCUGAAGCCUCUUCUCUUCGGCGUCUAUUGCUUUGGUCACCUGCUCCAUCUCCUUGGCAAGCUCUGCCCUUCGGCGUUUGAGGCGAUCUAUCGUGCCGACGAUCCCCGGGCGAGAGUCUUCCAGAAAGUGAAUCCGUUGAUGCACCUCUUGAGCUUGACGCUUGUACGUGUCUUCUUCUUCACGAGUUUUGGUCAACUUGACGCGAUCGGCCAUGUGGCGCAGGGCCCUAAAGACUGGAAUCCUCAUUGACUCGAUAUAUGCAGCUGGCGCCAAGGCCUCUUCCGCUUCUUCUGGUACUCGCCCGCUGACGUCACCAAAAAGUUGUUGAAUCAGCGAAGCGUCUUCUACCAAUCGGCCGAUGUCCUCUUGAAGAAGGGAUCGGAUGCUUGCGAGUUUGGCACGGACGUCAUCAGGAACGGAGCUCAAAGUGACCUGGCGAGAGGCGACUUCCUCAUCAUCGGAGAGUGCGACCGCAAACGAGAAAAGGCUGUUGUUGGGGGUGUCCUGUUCCUGAAAAAUAGUGAGUCAAGAAGAAGAACAAAUCAGCCGAUGAUGAUAGCAAAUCGGCUGAGUAAGGGUGAGAAAUCUCUUACCUCCUUGAAACGGAUUUCUUCAAACUGCGUUUGGGAGGCUGUUAUCCUCGAUUCAGGGGCUGGUACCAUUGGUUCGUCAGAAGCUGAAGACUCCACCAUGAUUGGUGCUUUGCUCGGGCCAGCUUCCCGAAAGAUGACCAUUGGUUGGUUAGGUGGGGCGCUAAGCGUACCGGUGACCUGUGUCAAAAGAUUGAAUAAGAAUAUUAUCCAAAUACUAGAAAAAUCGGUUGAAGAGUAGUAUACCUCGGCAGACGGAAGCGUGGGCGUGUUGAUGACCGAUUGGGUUGCUGCCGAUUGUUGUGAGUCCACAGAAGUGAUUUGUGUAGUCUAAAAUAAGAUGAGUCAGUAUAGAGAUGGCAAUCGGUAGGAUCAAACAACAAGUUUACCUGCAUGGCCUCCACCAGUAAUGAUGCAGCGGCCGCCCCAGCUUGCGUGACGACUUGAGUAUCUACUUCUCCAGCAGCUGGAAGGGGCAAUGUGGCCGAAGUUUCUGCCGAUGUGAUCGUAGGAGGGUCGGCCGGUUCUGUACGAGCUCGCACUCGGCGACUGGUCUUCUUGGUAACCUUCUUCUGCGCCUGCUUCGAUCGGCCGGCAAUCACAUCCACGGAAGGGGCAUCGUAGCCGAUAAGGGGGAAGAUGGUGUAUAGGUGAUGGUCCUCUAUCGGCCGGCCACUCCGACUGUGUGUUGGGGGAACGCAGUUUUCAGACUGAAGCAACAGCAAGAUGUUAGUGUACAUAUUUAACCGCAUUAAUAAAGGAAUGAAAAUCAGUUAGGGAAAAAAAAUACCUCGGUGUUCGGAUCGAUGUUGGCUGGAUCCAGGAGGUUGCAGUAUGUCGAUGCGGAGGCACAGAAUAGGUACUGUUUUCAUUCGGCCCACCAUAGCUUGAAUGGUUGGACAACAAAGGGGGCUACUAUCCAGUCAUUCAAGUCUAUGGUACUGGAGUCUGGUAUCCGGUCUCGCAGCCGACUAUAGUCAAGACCCUUGGUGAGCUCAUCUCUGAACUUUGCUCGGCCGACGAAGUAUGCCUGAAUCGGCAGUUGACCCAUGCCGAAUUGCCGAGCUGCAACGGAGGGAUUGUAGAAUUCAUAUGUAGGGGCAUCCUUUCCUGAGAAGAAGUUGGCCGGUAAGAUCCCCGGUUUAAUUAGUUCAUCUGUGAGAUCUUCGUCGAAUCAGCCGGUGGUUGAGUCGAAGCAAGAAGGGAGUUCAAAGAUUGGGUCAUCUCUCCAAUAAGGAAACCAGACGGUUGCAUCUUCAUUGAAGCCGUUAUAAAAACACUGGAAGUAUUCGGCCACCUUGGUAGCAGAGUACGAGCAACCAGAGAAGGCCGAUGCCGCUUCGCCGAAAGACAUACACCGGCGUCGGACAGUGAGAUUCUCUGCCGAUUCGACGCUGGGGAAUGUCAUGUGUUCCACUCGCUGCUGAGAGAUCUCGCUCAUGUACAAGUUCAGCCAUAAGUUAAUGAACCACCAGGGUCCACCUGGGUUUCCAAUUGGCUACCCUUGGGAUAGCUUGAUGCCGAUUUGGUGAAGCAUGUGGUAGGCUGCUCCCAGUAAGUGCUUUCCAAGAGGAACAGAAGUCCCUAUUGAUAAUGCUUCGGCCAGAGCUUGGGUAUUGGUAGAUGGACCAGCUGCUCUCCCACAGAAGAAGUGCUUCUCUAGCCACAUCAUCAGGAAGGCCGUGUGCUCUCUGUUGUCGACAGAUCCGGCCCUUUUGUUGCAUCUGAUGAAACCUUUCCACCUGCCGAUUCCCCUUGUGUCCAGCCGAUGUGAUGUUGCGGUUAUAAGGCGGAAAGGGGUGUCCGGGGAAGAAAUAUCCAGGCCGGUCAGGAAGACUACAUCGGCCAAUGUGGGGGUCAUGGGUCCGUGUCCAAACAGGAAUGCGUUGAGAGCAUUGGACCAGAAGUAAGAAGCUGCCACCACUAAUGGCUCAUUCCGUUCCAUUUGGGACAAAGAUAGAUCGAUGCAUUGGCCAAUUUUGAGCUCGUCCCAUUGGACCUUCUUGGAAGCGGUUAUCCGCUGGUACCAUUCCCUCCAACUGGGAGUUUCGUUCGGCCAAGACCUAAAGGUACUCAACCAGUGAUCUAGGUCCAUAGUUGAUUGUUUGAAGGGGAUCCUAUGGGUUUUCCAAAUUGAUUAAGUCGGUUGGAUCUGGAUUUCCCAUGGGUCCAAGACAGAUAAGGCCGAGGUUUUCUGUGAGACGAAUGGUGAUGCGAUGCCUAACCGCCUAAAAAGGAAAAGGGGGUGCGAGGGUAAGAAAUAGAUCUAAAGUACAUGCAUUACUAAUAAGGGAAAGUUUCGGUAAUGACCUCCGGGAUGAAGCUCCUCGUAAUCGGCGGAGUCGCCGGUGCAGCUGCAGACGAUGAAGCUGCCAAUGGGAUCUCGGAUGAAGCUUCAACUUUCGCCAAUGGAGCUCCUUCUUCCGUCGAUGGAGCCGUCGUUAUCGCUACUGGAACCUCCGCCGAAGGCACCAUUUCUGGAGCUUCGCGCAUUGGUGAGGUGCCUGAAGGUGCCGCCAUUGGAAAAGUAGGAGGCAAUGCGAAAGGAAGGAGGCGCUGGAGAAUUGGUGGACUAAGGAAAGUGUUGGAGGAAGAAGAAAGCCUGUGCACUGAAGAAGAUGGACAUGAGCUCGUAAGGAGUACGGGAUGUGCUGAUAUUUAAAGAACGUCUGAGAAGGGGUAAAAGUGGAAUUUUUACCGCGCUGGCGUUUUGAGUUUUUCGGGAGUAGUGGUUGUCGUGGGCACCCGUUUCGAAAAGAUUGCAAUCAUCAGGUUGGAGACCGCGAAAUGGAAGGAUGUUUUCAUUGCGUCUGUUUCGGAUGAGAAGUUGAAAAGAAUUUUGAAGUAAAGACUAUGUUUUACUCCGAAACUGGGAGGCAUGUGUUGACGCCAGAUUUUGACACGAGUAAAAUCGGCGUUAGAAAUGGAAUAAAUUAGGAGAUGCGGCGAGAUACAAGGGCGACGAUUGGAAAUCGGCCGAUUGGUGCUACAGUCAAGGAUCGGUUGGUUGGUGCUGCAGUCAAGGAUCGGCCAAUUGAUGCUACAGAUGAGGAUCGACCGAUUGAUCCUUGGAGUUCCGCCUCGCCCAACCCCUGGUUUGGGAUCGGACGCGCCCGACCCUCCAAGGGAGGAUCUCCGCCUCGCCCGACCCCUGGUUUGGGAUCGGACGCGCCCGACCCUCCAAGGGAGGAUCUCCGCCUCGCCCGACCCCUGAGGUUUGGGAUCGGACGCGCCCGACCCUCCAAAGGAGGAUCUCCGCCUCGUCCGACCUUAGUUCCCAGGGUCGAAAUGAGUCUGAGCCCUCGAUAUGUGGGUCCUGAUCGGUUACCCCCUUGCCAAAGAGGUGAUCGGCCGAUUAGGAGGUUGGAAUAGUUGGGCCGAUGUGGGCUCAAGAAGGAUUAUGAAGAUGAAGAGGGGGUCAGCCCAUGAAGCGCGUGAAAAUAGUACGAAUCGUACUUGUAAAUAUUCGUUUUCUGUUUAAAUUUAGGGAUAGAGUUCUAGUCGGAUAAGAAGUCGUUCGUACGGGGCUAUAAAUAGCCACCGUUGUAGAUCUGUAAUCAUCAUCAACUCAAUACAACAAACUACUAUUUCCUCGUACUUACUUUCAAGCAGGCGACUUUACCAACACUUUUUCUCCUUUUUCACGAGUUCAUACGGGUUGGCGGGGCUGCAUCAACUUGACCUCCGGCCGAUCUUGUAAGUUCCGUUUAUCGACUAAAUUCUAAGCUUUAACUUCGGGCGCAUCGCUGUCGUUUCGUUUAGAUUUAUUCAUCAGUUAUCGAUAUUUACUAGAAUUCUAGGUUUUACCUGUUGUUCUAGUUUUAUCACCAAUUAUCCAGCUAGGAAUCGGUAAAUUCGGCUUUCUUUAUACUUCUCUGUCUAAUCUAUUUAUUUUAGCCGAUUAGAUCUGUUCCUAGUGUUGCUACUGUAGCGUUGUUUAGAUUACUCUAGCAGUUUUCUUUAUAAACGUUACCUGGUAAUCGGUUGCACUAUAGCCGAUUUCCUUAUUACGGCAAAUCGGCCGAUUCGCUGAUAAGCUUUCUUGAGACCGGAACCUUAGCCGAUCGCAACCUCUGGGAACUGACAUGUUUAUUUCCUUGCCAAUCAACAGGUCAGAUUGGCUGGCACGCCGCGCGAACCGCACCAGGGCAAUCACCCGAACAGGAGUUAAGCAGAUUCUCCCGGGUCGUGUGUCCGACGCUGGAAAUUCGGUCAGCUGAUUUCUAGCGCCAACAGGCUCAUUUAUGUCGCCUGACACGCGAAUAUGCACUUUAACCAAGUCAACCUGGUCGACCGUCGGAUUUCAUCCGAUGAACCACUUACACAGGAUCAAGAAGCAUCGCUCAAACGAAGGUGAGUAGCACAGAGGUUACAACAUUCCAUUAUGACAACUUAGUUCCACAAUUUAUUACAUCAGAGUUUCAGAAAUUCAAACAAGUUGCAAGGUUCGAAAAGUCGGAUAAAACAAGCGAAAACUAAACGUCGAUACAGGAUAUCAUGACGAAGUUGAUCAUGACAUCAAAAAUCCCUACCCUCACCGUCCGAGGAGGGAUCCCACUCGAUUGUCCAGCCCGGAGGGAGCUGGGUAGGCCAAGUGGUGCCAGCAACCAAACUAUUGACAUGACCUGAAAAGAUUAAGCCAUAACAAGGCUGAGCAACUAAUACUCAGCAAGACUGACCCGUCGAGUGAAAAGCUUUACCAAGACCUAGACAUGCAAGGCUUUCUGGCUCUGGGAUUACUUUGCCAAAAGCAUCUACAGUCGGUCCUUACUUUCAAUAUUUUAGCUUAAGUUCUACGUUCUUUAACCAGUCUAGAUUAGCAACUUAUACUAAACAAGCAUAAUUUCCAAGUAGUUAAAUAACAAGCAUCAACUUAAUCUCAUAAUCAUGUUUCAUCGUUACUCAGUGCAGAAUAGCGAUCAAGUAGUCCCAAACUGUGAGAGACAGAUGAAUCGAUUCGAAUUUAUUAACCAUGCAUGGCGAACCUAAUCUCACGACAUCCGCGCACCACGAAGGGUCGCUUCAUUUGUCAGCCGUCCCCAUCGAUCCCUUAGGCACGUGUCAGGGCCAAACUGCCUUUGGCGUGCAAUGCUCCACAGUCCCGACCUCUGUCGUACUGUGACCGCCACUGCACCCACAUGAUGCACCAUGGGAACGACGUUCCAAGGACAGCAGGAGUAUAAGCCACGUCCCAGUUCAGUCAGGUACUAGGCUUCCCCAUCCCAGACUAGGUAUGAGAUUAGUACUUUCAAACACUUGAUCACGAACGCUGACACGUUUCAACCUUAGAUCAAUUUCCUUUAGACAGACGGGGAAAACCACCAAGUAUCGAACAUAAGCCCGACCCCGUCCGUCAUCCUUAUAGUUGCAACAUAAAUAAACAUUCAACUCCUAUAACUCGCGAGUGAUAGGAAAUCACUCGACUUUUACUGAAACCUAAUAAGCAUUGCAACUACUCGACUUUAGCAACUAGUAUUCAAACAAGGUACUAAGUUCAUGCAUCUACGGUUUCAAUCAACUCCUACACACGUAAAUGCGCAAACAUAAACAUCAACAUGUUGCAUAAAGUAAAACAGGGAAGUCAUGCACCGGGGCUUGCCGUCAGGAAGAGUUAGCGGGUCCUCGGGGUCUUGAUCCGGCUCAGGCUCGCCUUCCAAGUGGUGAAGCUCCGCAGCGGGGUCUUCCUCCGGUGUCGGGUGGAGCUCGUAGGUUCCAUCGGCGAGAUUUGCUUCUAUACGACAUGCAUAUGCAAAAGUUUAGUUGGACUCACGCGUUUAUUCAACGACACAAGGCUUGGCUUAAGACAAGGAGUUGCAACAGCCACAUUCACUUUGACGAGGUUCAACUUUCAUGCAACUUCAAACGAAUGUGGUCGGUUUAAACUUGAGUUCGAGUUGAAUGGCGAUUGUGUACAUAUAUAGUUUUCUUACACUUAGAGUUGCAUAAAGAGAAUGAAAGGUCGUGUUUGGGUGGUUUGGGUGCAUUAGGAUAGUUACUUACUUCUGAAUGUUUUUAUGUACCUCUUUCAAUUUCCACUUAUUUAUCGUAUUAGAAUUUGUGCUUUCCUUUUAUUCCUUUAGGUUGAUUAAUUAACCAAAAUGACUUCAUAUCCAAACAGCAGCUAAAGGCACUGAUAAAAUUACAACACCUCACUUAAGCCAUAGCUGGGUUACUCUAAAAUUUUGGGGGCCAUUGGAUGACUUAAAAAGGAAUUACAUGCAUUUUAUUAUUAAAGGUAAAAUGAGCUUAACUUUUUCUAUCUUCAAAGUUACUAUGCAACAGAGGGUGAAACUUAACCAGUGUGUUAAGGGUAUGUUACAGGAUCUUUGGCGAAUUUUUCAUAAUUUUUGAAGAAGGUUAACUAUUUACUCUAUUUCCUUUUUAAUUAAACAUGCUUAGCAAGGAAGGUGUUUUUUCUUUCCGAAUUGCACAACAAUUUACAUUUUUCCUGCAAACUUCACAGCAAAACAAAAUUAACCCAACUAGUUUCACAUUUUUUUGAGCUCUGGAUCAAAACGUAUGCAAAAAGGAAGAAUUAAUCUUAGAUUCCCAAAUUAAAGUCAAAACAAUGACUUAAAGUGCUAGACCAGAGCCCUAACCAUUUUUCUGAGCUUCUACACAUAGAAACAAGCAUCACAGAGUUGGUUUUACAUUUUUCCCACUUUUCUUCUAUUUAAUAGGAUUAAAAAGGCCUAAACCAUGAUUAAAAGCAUAUGAUAUUAUUUACAACAGUAACAUGAGCAAACUUAUUUUUCUUAGGAACUAGAUAGAGCAAGGAUUCCAACAAAAGUGGUUUGGUAUUUUUAUGAUUUUUCUACGAUUUACUGGGCAUUUACAAAGUUCAACCAUAUUUCUACCUAUUAUUUAAAAGAAAAGCCGUGGCAAACUUGCAGGUUAGCCCCUGGGUCUAUGGGUUAACUACGCAGAGGUCCCUGAGUUUUGCGCCCAGGCCCCUGGAAAGAAUGGGGAUGAUGCAAUGUAGUCCCCAGGGCGCGCGCGGCGGCGGCGAGGAAAUCCCCGGCGGUUCGUCGGCGGGGAUGGGGCAACAAGUGGUCGGAGGGGUGCGGGGGCUCACCUGAGCUCGGUUUGGUGGGGUUGGGGCGACGGAGAUGGUCGGUAGGGAUCAAAACACGGCGGCGGCGACAGAGCUUGGCUGGUGGCGGUGCAGGCGUCGUUCCGGCGCACUGGCGGCGUCGGGGAGGCCACGGGCUGCUCGGAGACGUGCGCGGAGGGGGGGCGAAGUGGGCGGCGAAGUUGCCGGAGUACGGGGUGGCGCGGAGGGGUGAGCUCCACGGGAGCUUAGCGGCGGCGCUGAGAAGGAAGCAGAGGCGUGGUUGCGAGCGGUGGCAAAGGGUGGCAUUGCCGGUGAGGGGGACCCUUUUAUAGGGCAGCGGUGGAGCGGAGGGUCGAGGUGGGGCUCCGGUGGAGGAAGGAUAAGGCCGGGAGCGGUGCGUGCGCGAGCGAGGCGGCCAUUGGCCAGCGGUGCCAUUGGGCAGGGGAGGCGGAGCUCCGGGUGGUCUCUGGCCGCGAUUGGCCUCGAGCGAUGCGUGUCUGAGGCCUCCGGUCUGUCGGCGGGCGAAGCGGAGGGCCACCGCGGGGGUUGGGCGAGCGGGCGGAGGCGCGGGACGUCGUUGGCGUGGUGGCUUCUCCAGCGGGUGGGCGAAGCGCGGUUGGGCAGAGCAGAGCCGCGGCAGAGGGAAGGGCACGCGCGCGGCCGACGGUUGGCCAGCCCGGCGUUCGCCCCGUCUUGUCGCAGGCGCGGGUUGGGCGCCGUGGCUCUCACCUUAUCGUUGUCUCGCCGGGGAUAGGGCGCCGGUGAGCUGCCGGUGGCCAGCGGCCACGAGGCACGCGGUGCGCGGGCGAACAUGCCCUGGCGCGCGGGCGUUGAGGCCCCUUCGGGCAGUAAGCCCGACCAGCUUUGAGAGAUCCUAUCUCAAGAUUUUGCAACACAACUUCCAAAACUCUUCUAAACAAACUUGUUCAACUCUGGACGUAGUUCAAACUUGGUUUAAGGUGCUGGUUUAGAUUGUGAAAGGAUUUGGAGAUAUCUCAUGCCAAAGUUUGCCAAAAAUAUGGAAAUCCAGACUUAGCCAAUUUUGGCCGGAGAGGUGGAAUUUCAGGAACUUAGCUAUGUUUGAGUCAACUUUAGGGCAGCUUCCAAGUUGAAUUAGACAGAAGUGUUAAUAGAGGAGUUGCUCUCCAAACUGAGGACUUCAACUUCUAUUUAGGGUAUUUCUGGAGUUUAGUUCAGAAAUUUGGAGGAACGCCCUCGCCAAGAGGUGCACUCUGAGCAGUUUUCCAGACUUAGCGUUGUGGUGCUCAGGGGCUGAGUUGACUGCUUUGCUCAACUUUGACCAAGAUUUUGAACAGGUUCUGGUUCGAUUUGGACCUGGGUCAUUGUAACAAACUUGGAAAACACUUGAGGUAUUACAACCUUUAUUAAGAGCCUGACUUGAGUUUAGAUAUGAAAUCGUGAGAUAAAGGCUUGCAAAGUUGGAGGAAAACUUGAAUUCCACGACUUGGAGGUUUAUAGGGUUCUUUAUUAUUCCGGUUUUGAUUCCUGUUUUUGACUUCCUCCCACUCCGAAUUAGCCAAAGUGACUUUAACAAAUAUUGUUUGAAAUUAAAAGUGUUACAACUCUUAUUUGGGCAAAAUUUUAAGUUUGUAUAUAAAAUCUCAAGUUUUAUUUUAAACUCCAUAAAGAGCUUCUUAGGGUUAAAAUGGUCAUUUCACUUCCUUUACUUAGUGAUUAACCACUGGUUUAUAUUUAAAGCACUUAAUUUAGGUAGAGUUGUUACAAGUAUCCACUCACUACUUUACCAAAUGGGUGCAGGCAGUCCCUCUGAAGACCGUGACGUUGGCCGUCAUGAUUGAAUUCAUAAGCGAGCACAUUAUCUAUUGGUUUGGUAUUCCUCAGACUGUUACGACCGAUCAGAGAACAAUGUUUACUUCAGGAGAGUUUGAGGAGUUCACUUCCGAUAUGGAAAUUAAGUUGUUAAAUUCUUCUCCAUAUUACGUUCAAGCUAAUGGUCAGACCGAAUCGUCCAAUAAAGGGAUAAUCAAGUGUAUCAAGAGGAAGGUAGAGGAGCAACCAAAGAGAUGGCACAUGACUUUAAGCGAGUCUUUGUGGGCCUACAGGAUGGCCUGCCACGGCGCUACUAAGGUGUCUCCUUAUCAAUUAGUGUAUGGAUAUGAGGCGGUGCUCCCUUAGGAAUUGAGGAUGGGGUCUAGACGCACGUCGAUUCAAGAUUAGUUGACAGCCGACGAUUAUUCUCUCCUUAUGAAAGGGGAGCUUGAGGAUUUGGUGGGUCAACGAUUGAGGGCCUUGAUCAGUAUUGAAGAGAAUAAGAAAAGACUUGCCAAGUGGUAUGACAAGAAGGUCAAGGUCAAGCAGUUCUCGCAAGGGGAUUUGGUAUGGAAAUUGGUAUUGCCGAUAGGGUCUAACCAUCCCAAAUACGGCUAGUGGUCGCCUACUUGGGAAGGGUCGUAUAAAUCGAUCGAUAUGUGCCAGGAAAUGCAUACGUAUUAGAGACCAUCGAGGGAGAGGAAUUUACAAGAGCCUUAAAUGGGAGAUAUUUGAAAAGAUACUAUCCCAGCAUAUGAGUGGACGCGUAGCCGAUGAUAUAGUGUAUCGAGUCGUUAUGGCCGAUUCCUAUUGACUCGUGUUUAUAUAGCCGAUGCAGGGAGGCAUCGCCUUGAGGACGAAACCUCUAAUCAAAUUGGCCGAUUAUUAUUCGGUACGGUGAUUGGAUACAUGGCCAACAUGGUACAAGUCGCCCUUAGACCAAAAGUACCAAUACAUCUAUCGGGUUACAAUAUGAUUAACUGCAUUUCAACUGGGCUUUGUUUUUAUUGAUCUCUCUUUGGACCCGGCCUAGUUCUAUUAAGAGACGGGUGCUCUUUUCCUCCCUAUCCGCCAUGGCAUCUUUGAGAGCGACCUGGCAGGGUAGCUGAUGACUCCUCUCAAUUGGCGGCUGAGGUGGCUCCCUGGAGCUGUUGGCUUCGAUGUGAUCCACGAUCUUCUUAAUGUGGGUCGGAAGAUGGUCUUUAAGCUCCUCACGGUGGGCUUUGAUCAGGUCUUGGUCCACCUGCAUCAGUGGUUCCUCAGAGUGCAUAAUUUCGAUAACUCGCUCAAGAUCAGGGCUGAGCCGGGUCGGCUGGACAAACAGCGGGCAAUCAGUUGUCGAAAAGAAUUGGUCAAGGAGCGCAAGGCUGAUCUCAUACCUCAUUGACGGGGGAAGAAGAAGACAUCUUGGCGCCCGGUUAGGGAUCUGAAAAUGGUCGAGCAGAGUGUAGAAGGAUGGAUGAGAUACGAGUGCCUCUGGGAGGAAUGUAGGGACCCCAUAUUUAUAGGAGAAAAGGUAAGGGGCAACGGUUGGCAAAGGCAUCUAUUCAAAGCAGAUGAAUGUUGAGCUAAAAGCUGCGAAGAGGAAACGUUCAAGUCCGUAUUCACACAAUGAUGGCAAAAGGGGCAUUAAAUGUUUGUGCAGAGGUGUUCAAAAGAUAAUUCAAUGUUUUGAUACAUUCAUUCAAGAAGAAUAUUAAUGGCCGCGAUUGCCUACUGGCGGAUCUGAUCCGCUGAAUCUAGAACUCGUUGGACAUCUUCGGCUGAUCCAAGAAUUUCUAGCAUGUUGCGAUGAAGCCGGAUGGCCUCAUGCGCAAGGGUUUGCCUCUCCUGCUUCAGAUCAGCGAUGACGGUCGUGAGAUCAUGAAGAUUAUUCUUUUUGGCGGUUAUAGCCUUUGUCACCUACUCCAUCUCCUUGGCAAUCUCUGCCCUAUGCUAUUUGAGACGGUCUAUUGUGCCGACGAUGUCUGGGCGAGAAUUUUCGAGUACGCCGAUUCGGUGAUGUACCUCUUGAGCUCGGUGUUUGUAGGAAUCCUUCUCUUCACAUGGCUUUGCCAGCUUGGCAUGAACGGCCAUGUGCCGCAGGGCUCUGAACACCGGGAUUUGCAUUGACUCGAUGUAUGUAGGAGGUGCAAGAGCUUUUUCUACAUCCUUCAGGACUCGGCCUUUUAUUUCGCUGAAGAUUUGCCAAAUCGGCGAAGCGUCUUCCACCAAUCGGCCGAUGUCAUCUUGAAGAAGUGCUCGGAUUCUCUGGAGCUUUGCACGUACUUCUUCCGAAAUUGAACCUGGAGCCACUUGUCGAGAGGCUACCUCUUCAUCAUCAGAAACAGCGAUCGCAAAUGAAAAGAGGCUGUUAUUGGGCGUAUCUUGUUCCUAUAAAAGUAAGAGAGGAAGGAACGGAUUAGCCGACAGUAGUGGGAAAUCGGUCGGAUUGGAUGUCGAAGGCCCUUACCUGUUUAAAAUGAAUUUUCUUCUGUUUGUGUUUGGGGGAUUGCUACCCUUGUCUCAGGAAUCAGCAUGGUUGGCUCGUCAGAAGAAGAAGACUCGACGGUGAUCGACGUUGUGUUUGGACCGGCUUCCUGAAAGUAACAAAAGGAGAGUCUCUAUAAGUAUGAAGCAAUAGUUAGAUCUAAGGAUGAGUACCAGUUACUUUACCUCUGUGAGUCGUCCGGCCGAUGACUGUUGGAAAGGUAUGAUUGAUGUACCCAGAGUGGCCUACAUUAGAAAUCGGUCAUUUUUGACUAAGGAAUAAGAGACUUGAGUAAGAUGUAUGUUCUUUACCUCAGCUGCAAGGAUUGCUGGUGGUUCGGUCUCUGCUUGGGAUGCGACCGAUUGCUGUGAGGUUUGCUCCGAAAGAAUUUGCGCAGCCUAACAAAAAGUGGAAAUUAAUACUGAUAGUAUACUUGGAGAAAUGUGAAGCAUAUAAAGUUACCUGAACAUCUUUUACCAAUAAGGAUGCAGCUGCUGAUCCGGCUUCCGUAGCGGCUUGGGGGUCGACCUCCUGGGCGAUCGGCAGAGUUGGUGUGGCUGAAGACUCGGCUGGUGGCACCGCCGAUUGAUCGGCCGGUUCUAUACGGGCGCGCACCCGGCGGCUUGUCUUCUUUGAAGAGGAUAUCUUCAUCUUCUGCUUCAAUCGGCCUGUGAUGAUAUCUUCGAUUGACGGGGACUGAAAGCCGAUGAUUGGAAAUGAAGUAUAUGGGUGGCGAUUCUCUAUCGGCCUGCCACUACAGUUGUGCGUUGGAGAGAGUUGGCUUUCAGACGACAAGAAAUGAGGGAAAUCAGUGGUAAUACUGUAAGAGUACGGUGUCAAAUCGGCCAGAAGGAUUGGUACCUCUGCAUUCGGAUCAAUGUUAGCGGGGUCCAGAUCAUUACAAUAUGUUGUAGGAGAUGUGCAGAAGAGGUGUUGUUUCCACUCACCCCACCAUAGCUUGAAUUGUUGGACAGCGAAGGGGGCCACAACCCAGUUGGCCAAUUCGAUGGUACUGGAAUCCGGCGUCAAGCUGCACAGCUGAUUGUAUUCAAGACCUUUAGAGAGCUCCUCCCGACACUUAACGCGGCCGGCAAAAUAAAUCUUAAUCGGCAUUUGUCUGAGGCCGAAUUGCCGCGCUGCCACUGAUGGGUUGUAGAAUUCAUAGGUUGGGGAGUCUUUUCCUGAGAAGAAGUUUGCUGGUAGGAUCCCAGGCUUGAUCAAAGUAUCCAUAAGCUCAUUAUCGAAGUAAUUGAUGGUUGAAUUGAAGCAGUCGGGGUUUUCAAAGAGUGGCUCAAUUCUCUGAUAUGGGUACCAGCUUGUAGUUUCUUCAUUGAAGCCGAUAUAGAAGCAUCUGAAAUACUCAGUUGUAUUUGUGGGGGUAAACUUGCUGCCAGGAGAAGCUGACGCUACCUCGCCAAGGAAGUGCAACGCCGUCUUAAUGUUGGGUUAUCCUCUGAUUCAAUAUUGGGGAAUGUCUUGGUCUCAACUCGUUCCCUGGAGAUCUUGCUCAUGUAUAAGUUGAGCCAGAUGGUGAUAAACCACCAGGGGCCACCAGAGUUCCCAAUCGGCUCUCCGGAUGACAGCUUGACUGCGAUUUGGUGCAUCAUAUGAUGAGCCAAUCCUAGCAGGUGUUUUCCUAAGGGGAUAGUAGAACCUUUUGCUAGGGCCUCGACCAGAGCCUGUGUAUUGGAGGAGGGGCCAACUGCUUUGCCACAGAAGAAGUGCUUCUCUAACCACAUCAUCAGGAAAGCUGUGUAUUCUCUAUCGCCGAUAGGACCGGUCUUCAUAUUUUUAUCAAUAUAGCAUUUCCACCUGCCGAUUCCCUUUGUUUCCAGGCGAUGGGUUGGUUUGAUCAGGAAAUUGAAGGGCAAGUCGGGGGAAGAGAUGUCAAGACCGGUCAGCAUCAGGACGUCGGCCAAAGUAGGGGUCAUGGGCCCAUGUCCAAAAAGGAAAACAUUGAGAGCGUCAGACCAGAAAUAAGAAGCUGCCAUGACCAAAGGUUCAUUCUUCUCCAUUUGAGACAGAUAUAAGUUUAUGCAUUGGCCGAUUUUUAGUUCAUCCCAAAGAACCCUCUAAGAAUUGGACAUCCUUUGAAACCACUCUUUCCAGCCAAGGGUUUCGUUCGGCCAAGAUCUAAAUGCACCUGUCCACUGGCUUAAAUCCAUUGGUGACUGCUUGAAAGGGAUCAUGUGGGUUUCCAGGUUGAUCAAUUCAGUGGGAUCUAGAUUCCCCAUGGGGCUAAGACCGACGAGGCCGGGUGCGUCAGAAACAGGGAUGGUGAUUUGCUGCCUAAGUUCCUAAAAAGGAUACAAAAGGAGAACUAAGAACAGAUCUAAAAGAUGCGUGAAUGGUGAAAAGUAAAAGUAAAAACUUUGGGAUAUUUACCUCUGGAAUGAAAGCCAUAGUCGCCUAUGGAGCCGCUAUUGGAGUAAACAGAAUAGGAUGGACGGAAGAUGAAGGAGGAAUCACCGUAGGAAUGCAGUUGGAAGAUGAAAGGGUGCCGAAAUGCGAUGGAAGAUGAUUCGCCGGGGAAAAAAGAGUUUCCCAGCUUGUGGAGAAGAAGCGGCGGAGAAUGCAAAUAUUUAAAGAUGGUUCGAGAGAAGGGUAAAGGUGGGAUUUUACCGCGCUGUCUGCACAAAUUUCGGGAAGAGCGGUUGCCUGCGAGCGCCUAGCUCGAAAAUUGUGAUCAUCAGAGAGAAGACCGCAGAACAGAAAGGAGCUUUCGCCGUGCCCGCCUCGGAGGAUGAGUUAGAGUUGAAAAAAAUUUGAAGCAAAAAGUUUCACUCUGAAACUUGGGGGCAUGUGUUGACGCCGGAUUUUGACACGUACUUGAAAUCGGCGUCAAAGAAGGAGAAAGGGGGGCCGAUGCGGCGGACUAGAAGCUACAGUUGGGAAUCGGCCGAUUGAAGCUACAGUGUUUCAGCCGAUUGGUGGAAGAAAUCGGUGGAGGCUGGCCGAUUGAGAGCCAAAGCAGUUUGGCCGGUUUGGGCCUAAGGUGGACCAGGAUGAAGAUUUGCUGAAGAGACAGGCCCGUGGGAAAAUAAUAACCAACUCGAAUAUGAGUCGUGUUUGUAACUAUUUGUUGUCGUUUGAAAUUAGAGAUAGAUUCUAGUCGGUUAUGAAAUCAGUUGCAACAGGCAAUAAUAGCUGCCUCGAGAGGCUUGUAAAAAAAUAACACACAAUCAAUAAAACAAAUUUACUCUUUCCUCGUACUUUACUUUCAAGUCGGCGACUUCGCCAAAACCUUUUUCUUUCACGAGUUCGUACGGAUUGGCAGGGCUGCAUCUACAUGAUCUCCGACCGAUUCUGUAAGUUCCGCUUAUCGAGUAAUAUCUAAGCUUUAACUUCGGGCGCAUCGCUGUUGUUUCAUUUAGAUUUAUUCACUAGUUAUCGAUAUCAACUACAGUCAUAGGUUUUACCUGUUAUUUUAGUUUUUAUCACCAAUUAUCCAGCUUGAGGUACGAGCUAUCGGCUUCUAUUAUUUUUAUCCUUUAUCAUCACAUAGCUGAUUAGAUCUACUCCAAGUGUUGCUUUUGUAGUGUUGUUUAGGUUGCUCUAGAAGUUUUCCUUACGAUUGCUACGUGAGUAUCGGCUGUCUUAUAGCCGGUCAUCUCUAUAGUAAAUCGGCCGAUUCGCUAAUACGCUCUUCAAGACAGAUCGGAACUCUAGCCGAUCGAAACCCCUAAAAUUUAAUAUUCUUCUUUCCUUUGUCAAUCAACAGGUCAGAUUGACUGGCACGCCGCGCGAACCGCACCAGGGCAAUAACCUGAACAGGAGCUAAGCAGAUUCUCCCGGGUCGUGUGUCCGACGCUGAGGGUCAUCGGCCAAUUUUCAGGGCCAACAACAGCUUUUGGGCAAAAGCAUAUAGGACUUUUAGGGGGUGUUUGGCAUGGCUCUAGAGCUGAACUCCGGUAACUCCAGCCAAUUUUCCAGCCAAACACCCUAGCUCCAAAACUCCAUGGAGCUGCAGUGCAAAUGGGAUGGAGUUUUGGCGCACCUCUUUUGUAGCUCCAAAACCACCUAAUAUGAACCUCCUCGUGGAGUUGGUGGGUAAUUAACCAUCAAUGCCACUGAUUAAAAUAAAAAUGAUUCACUUCUAUUUUCUCUCGAGACCCCUCCCCGCGCCGCCCGAGGCCUCCUGAUGCCGCUCUCCUGCGCCGCCGCCUAGCGCCGCCGACAGCUGCUGUCGCCGUCCGUGCCCCGCGUCCUGCGGGCUACCGCCUCGCCAUCCCCAUGAGCCCCCUGCACCGCCGUCAGAGCCGCCAGCCGAGCCGCUGCGGCCGGGUUUCCGCCGUCUUGCCGCCUCUUUCCUCAACUGGAGUGAGCCAUCAGCAGCAGCAGAUUCCCCUCGGCGAGCCACGCCCGUUUCGCCGGUUCCGUUGUCACCCUGCUGCCGGAGUGCCGCCGCCACCGUGAAAACCGCCCGCCCCCCGAUCUCCACCACCACGCUGACCACCUCCGUCCAUGCCCUCCGCCGGUGAGCACACCCGUAGAUUCCCCUCGACCCCCUCUUCCUCUUGCGCCACCUGCCCAAAACACCACCUCGCCGGAGCGCCAGCAAGCUAGCUGGCCAGAGCCCCGGUGAGAGGAGGAAGAAGGAACCUGGCUCUUUUGUGAUUGGGUCCUUGAGGAAAGCUAAAAUCUUUUGCUCUGUUCCUUGCUCCCGGCGAGAGGAGGAAGAAUAGUGGGCUUCUGUGGUGGAGGGCGAGAUCGAACCAGGAGUCAGAAUGUCAAUCUACCCUCAAACUCCUCUUUUCUGGAGUUGGGAACACCCUCCCAACCAAACACCUUCAUCAGACAGCAGGUUGAAAAGAGGCACAUGAGGCUCAGCCGCUUAGGCCCACGGGCAAAAAAAAAAAACUCUUACUUUAUGGCGGAGUAGUUGCUGUUCCAGUGUGCAGGUAAAUUGUCGCAAAUGCCCUCUUGUGGUCGCGUUGCAGUAGCCGAUAAGGCGUCCAAACGUGAGGUGCACACACCUGAUCUGAUCCUCUCAGUGGAAACGGGCCAGGUCCAUGCAACCCAGGACAGGAAGGCUCUAUACCUGGGCCGAACGGUAGCCCAAGAGGCCGACAGUAAGUGAGCUCACGGGUGACGAACGGCCCAGAAGCCGCCCCAAUCCGGCCACCGCCACUGAGCCGGCUCGACUAAACCGGAUCGCCACGCAGCCCGACCGCGCAGGCGUACUUCCCGAACUACCCCCGGAGAUUAUCCAAUCGGACGGCCAAGCGCCACGCACUGCCAAAGAAUUCCCCGAAAUGACCCUACUCUUCCCUUUGCCUCCCUCGCGUGCCGCCGGUUCUGCUCGACCGGACCAGCGGUUCAGGCGCCGAAUAUUCGCCCGCGGAUAUUUCUUGCCCGGUGCGUCAACUCCGCCGCUAUAAAUACCCUCAUAGGGCGGCCGCUAGGGUUUUAGUGCUUCUCUCCCGGCGGCGCCUCCACAUAUCGUCUCUCAGAUCGGGAGGCGAAACCAAGGUGACUGACCUCAUCCCCUUUCUCCUCCCUCCGUCUCUGGUUGCUAUAGCUAUUUCAUCCAUGCGCUGUCCUUAUAGCUGAUUAGUAUUUUUACUAGUGGAGUUCGAGUCGUUUUGGUUCCAUUCAGUAGUGCUUGUGUUGAUUGGAUUGAAUCGGAGGACUCGAAGUGGUUUGUGCUGCUCGAAUCGUAAGUUUGUUGGGCUAAUCUCGAUGGAAUUUAUGUCAAUUCGUUGGUUUAGUGGUCCUUGGCAGUUCUCUCUGUGAUAGGCCCGUCCGAUCUGUAGAGAUGCGGUGGAAUCCUGGUUUACUCAAAACGGUUCUAGAUUCCUCUGUUCUUCCCUUAUUUUUUGUUUCGAUUACUUAGUUUGCACGUUAGGGGCCUAUGAAGUUUAUGUGCUCGGAUCCUUUAGUGAAACUGAUCUGUUUACUCAGAUGUGCUCGGAUCCUUCAGUGAAACUGAUCUGUUUACUCAGAUCUGCUGGUAGCUAACAGGUUCAGGGUAGUUAUGUUGAUGGUCUAGUUUUGGUAGUUUCAUUGUCGAUUUCUGUCCAUUUUUGUCAUGUUCUGUCCAUAAAAAUACUAUCUGUGCUUCUUCAUAUCUUGUAAUAUGAAUUCAUUUGACAAACUAUGCAUUUCUUUUAGAGUGUUUGUCUAAAUUAAUCUUCUGGUAUAUCCCUAUGCCAGUCUGUUAAUAUGUCUGUAUUAUAGUGUUUUGUUUGAGGUGGUAAUGUACAUGGUGCACCCUGCAGUUUUUCAUGUCUAAUAUUGAAUCUCCUUGUUUGCUGUAUGUAUUAAGGAUUAGUUUCACUUCAAAUAGCUUACUGCUGAUGCUUUCUUGUUUGUUUAAUAUGCUGUGUAAUCAUGUUGACCCUGAGGUUUGUAAGAAUUCCUCUUAUUUGAUUAUUGCAUGGAUUAGUGUCCUGAAGGAUAUGGCUCCUUUGUACAAUUAAGAUAAUUCACUUUUUUUUCUCAACUUUUAUAUGCUUACUAGCCCAUUAGGUUGUGUAAACAUUAGAGUGCUUUAGCCUGGUAAAGAUGAGUUAAGCAUUUUAAAUAAAUUUUUGGAUUUGGUUGAUAUCAUCCUUAACACCUGCAUUUAAACAAUUUGUCUCUUUUGAUCCUGACUAUUACAGUGGGUGUUACUUUCUUUAGUCAUUCUGUGGUAUCAAAGUUUCUGGUGUAGUUGUGUAAUUAUGGUUUUGGUUGGAUUCUUACUAGUAUUUUCUACCUUUAAACAGCAGGAAAUUAUAUACAUAUUUGUAGUGUGAUCUUCAUAAGAAGUCAAGAUGGUGAAGUUCACAGCGGAAGAGCUCCGUGCCAUCAUGGACAAAAAGAACAACAUUCGUAAUAUGUCCGUUAUUGCUCAUGUGGACCACGGUAUGUUAAGAACAGUGUUUAAUUAAAUGUUAUGCAUACCUGUUCCUCGACAUUUUUCAGGCUUUUCAAUUUUAGCAAUUGUUUUUUUUCAGUAUUAAAUCUCUGAAUUGUUCUUGCCAGUGAAUGCGAUUCAUGCUGCGUUAGCUAUCACAGACCUAUUUUACAUAUGUAGAAAUAUUCAUUUCAUGUUGGAAAUAGGCUUAUUGUUCUUUUGUAAUUAAUGUAUUGGUUUAUCUCUAGAUAUUGCAGUGUAUAGUAUCUGUUUACUAUGUGUUUUAUAUUGGGAUGUAUUGUUGUCUUUGUUAACUUGUGAGAGGUUGUCUAUCCCUAAUGUUGUACUAUUCUUGAUGCAUCUUCGGACUGACUUUUAAGUUCCACACUAUAGUCUUACAUCUCAUUAAUUCUUUGCAGGCAAGUCUACCCUUACAGAUUCCCUUGUGGCAGCUGCUGGGAUUAUUGCCCAGGAAGUUGCUGGUGAUGUCCGCAUGACUGAUACACGUGCAGAUGAAGCAGAGCGUGGUAUUACAAUCAAAUCCACCGGUAUUUCUCUGUACUAUGAGAUGACUGAUGAGUCACUGAAGAGUUACAAGGGUGAGAGAGAUGGUAACCAGUACUUGAUCAACCUUAUCGACUCACCUGGGCACGUUGAUUUUUCUUCGGAAGUCACAGCUGCCCUUCGUAUCACCGAUGGUGCUCUAGUGGUGGUUGACUGUAUUGAAGGUGUCUGUGUGCAAACUGAAACUGUGCUCCGCCAGGCUCUUGGUGAGAGGAUUAGGCCAGUGCUUACUGUGAACAAGAUGGACAGGUGUUUCCUUGAGCUUCAGGUUGAGGGUGAGGAAGCCUACCAGACUUUCUCCCGUGUCAUUGAGAAUGCCAAUGUCAUUAUGGCAACAUAUGAAGAUAAGCUCCUUGGUGAUGUCCAAGUCUACCCGGAGAAGGGAACUGUUGCUUUCUCUGCUGGUCUGCACGGCUGGGCCUUUACCCUCACCAACUUUGCCAAGAUGUAUGCUUCGAAGUUUGGAGUUGAUGAAACUAAGAUGAUGGAGAGGCUCUGGGGUGAGAACUUCUUUGACCCAGCCACAAAGAAGUGGACCACCAAGAACACAGGCUCUGCUACCUGCAAGAGAGGAUUUGUUCAGUUCUGCUAUGAGCCAAUCAAGCAAAUCAUCAACACCUGCAUGAAUGACCAGAAGGAUAAGUUGUGGCCCAUGCUUCAAAAGCUUAAUGUUACCAUGAAGUCUGAUGAGAAGGAAUUGGUUGGCAAGGCUUUGAUGAAGCGUGUUAUGCAAACUUGGCUUCCAGCUAGUACUGCACUGCUUGAGAUGAUGAUAUUCCACCUUCCUUCCCCAUCAAAGGCACAAAAGUAUCGUGUGGAGAACUUGUACGAGGGACCCCUUGAUGAUAUCUAUGCUACUGCUAUCAGGAACUGUGAUCCGGAGGGUCCUCUUAUGCUGUAUGUUUCUAAGAUGAUUCCAGCAUCUGACAAGGGCAGGUUCUUCGCCUUUGGUCGUGUCUUCUCUGGGAAGGUUGCUACUGGUAUGAAGGUUAGGAUCAUGGGUCCCAACUAUGUCCCUGGCCAGAAGAAGGAUCUGUACGUCAAGAGUGUCCAGCGUACUGUUAUCUGGAUGGGAAAGAAACAAGAGUCUGUUGAGGAUGUUCCUUGUGGUAACACUGUUGCUAUGGUUGGUCUGGAUCAGUUCAUCACGAAGAAUGCUACACUCACCAAUGAGAAGGAGGUUGAUGCAUGCCCAAUCAGAGCAAUGAAGUUCUCUGUCUCCCCUGUUGUGCGCGUUGCUGUUCAGUGCAAGGUUGCCUCUGACCUACCCAAGCUCGUUGAAGGUUUGAAGCGUCUGGCAAAGUCUGAUCCUAUGGUCCUCUGUACAAUUGAAGAAUCUGGUGAGCAUAUUAUUGCUGGAGCUGGUGAGCUUCACCUUGAGAUUUGCCUGAAGGAUCUGCAGGAAGACUUCAUGGGUGGUGCUGAAAUUAUUGUUUCUCCUCCUGUUGUCUCUUUCCGUGAAACUGUUCUUGAGAAAUCCUGCCGAACAGUCAUGAGCAAGUCCCCCAACAAGCACAACCGUCUUUACAUGGAAGCCCGUCCCUUGGAAGAGGGUCUCCCUGAGGCUAUUGAUGAGGGCCGCAUUGGUCCACGUGAUGAUCCCAAGGUUCGCUCCAAGAUCCUCUCUGAGGAGUUUGGUUGGGACAAGGAUCUUGCCAAGAAGAUUUGGUGCUUUGGACCUGAGACCACUGGCCCGAACAUGGUUGUUGAUAUGUGUAAGGGAGUGCAGUACCUCAAUGAAAUCAAGGAUUCUGUUGUGGCUGGCUUCCAGUGGGCCUCAAAGGAGGGUGCACUGGCUGAGGAGAACAUGCGUGGCAUCUGCUUUGAGGUCUGU